GAAUUCUUGGAAGUGGUCUAAAAAUGAUAUAGGCAAAUGAUGUCAGUUCGAAUUUGAAUUUAAGAUCAGAGAUACUGAUCUUACUCUAAAUAGUUAAAAGAAUUUUCUAUAAAAAUUUCAUCAUAUUUGGAUUGUUUUAUACCGUUAAAUUUACAAACGCAUCAAAUCUAUCAUUAAAAUUGUCAAUUUUGAGACCUAUUGAUCGCUAGCCAAAUGAUGUCGAAAAGUUAUGAAAUUUAGUUUUCAAAUACUUUAAAUAGUGUAGAUUAAGUCUAACGGAGCCGAUCGUUGAUUUGGAAGCUGCAUCAUUAAAAACAACUUGGUAGCACGAAGGCCUUCGUGCUACUGAUAGUAUACCUGCCUAACUCUAUAUAUAUAUAUAGAGAGAGAGAGAGAGAGAGAGAAUUAAGUUGGAACAUAUGCUAAGCCUACAGUCUACAAAAAGACUUGUCCAUUUUCUAAGAUUUAAAUCUUUUUAAAAAAGUUUAGCAAUUAAAAAAAGGAAUGAUAAGAAUAGAAAUAUGGACUAAUAAAAUUAUAACCAACUUUUGGUUGUAGAACUAACAAUGUUAUAUCUAUGUUUCCCAGGUGAUAAUUUUUGGGCGGUCCAAAACAUUUCAUUCUUUGGGGCAAAAUUUUUAUGGACAUUGUGUCCAUGAAAAUUAAUUAGGGGAUACCCCAGAUGAGCGCCACGUGUUUGGAGCCAUUUCCGGAUGGGCGCCGUGUGGCUCUCCCAACAAAGGAGAGCAGCAGGAUUUUUUUGGUGCACCCAAUGCACCAUUUUUUAUUUUAAAAUUUUUAUUUUUAUUUUUUAAUUAUAAAUUAAUAUAACAUAUAUAUAUAUAUAUAUAUAUAUAUAUAUAUAAUGAUAUUUUAAAAACAUAUGUAAAAGAAUUUAAAAUUCAGGGUUCAAAAUUUUUUUACACAUAUUUUAUCUCUAUUAUAUUAAAUUAUAAUUAAAAAUAAAAAUAAAAUUUUUGAACAAAAAUGGUGCACCGGGUGCACCAAAAAAGUCUCACUGCUCUCCCAUAAGGAAGAGCAACAAGGGCGAUGAGCCCCGCCUGGCUCGGGUGCACGCGGCGCCAAUCCGGGGCGUCCUCAUAUUAGUCUUUAUGGACCCCAUGCCAUAAAAUUUUGUCCAUUCUUUGUCGGUAUUCUUAACGCAUUCAUGGACCAACCGCAAGCAUUCUGAUCGAGAUGUCAACUACAAUAGGAUGUUAGAUAUAUUAUCCUUAAUAUCAUAUAUAUCUUAUUAUACAUAUAUCGUAUCAGAAUAUGGAUGCUAAACAAAUAUGGAUUUUAUUAUUAUAAUAUAUAUUAUAUAUAUAAUAUAAUAUAUAGAGAGAGAGAGAGAGAGAGGAGAGAAGAGAGAGAGAGAGAGAGAAUUAUGUUACAUACUAUCAAUCAGUACCGCCCUUGUACUAUGAGUUUUCGGCCGUUGGAUAAAAGGAUGCGCGUUAGGUGAUAGUGAGCCCUAGGGUUGAGUGCGUGGUUGGUUUAAUAGUAUAAUCUAACGGAUGGAAAUGAUCAAAUAGUAGAUCUAACGUAGAAAACAAAUAGUACAAGACUUGGUACUAUCAAUAGUAUAGUAGCCGGACUCUAUAUAAUAUAUAUAUAUAUAUAUAUUAUGAGUUGACUUAACAUUUGGACGAAUAAGAAUUCACUAUGGGGCAUAUAGACCUUGUGAGCUCUUUGAGGGAAAGAAAAGCCUAAUGAUAAGCUGUUUGCAUACACAUAUGUAUCUAUUUGUCUCUAUGUCUAACUUUUGUCAUCUGAAUAGCAUCUAUGCAUCGAAUAUCUGAAUACUUAUUCGCAUUCAAUUCCGAGUAAAAUACAUCGAUAUAUAUCAUAUACAGAAACGUAAGGAGGGCAAACAAGGACAACAAUAUGUUUGUGCCACCGUGCCCAAACAAUACGUGACCAAACAAUUUUUUGGGCACGGUUCCGGAUGGGCGCCACGUGGUUAGCGGCGCCAUCCGCACCUCAAAAAAAAAAAAAAGAAAAUGGUGGGCUCGGUUUUUAGAGAGAGAGAAAGAGAGGGGGGAAAGGAGUAGAGCUGGCAAAUGAGCGAGCGGCUCGCAUUCGACUCGCGUUCGACUCGAUAUUUGGCUCGCUCCAACAGUCGACUUGAAUUAAAUGAGCCGAGCUUGAACAAAAAAAAAAGGCUCGAAAUUCAUUUCAAGCCAAGCUUGAGUAUUACUCGGCUCGUUCGAAUUAGGCUCGAAAAACUCGAAAAUCGAAUAUAAUAUAUAUAUAUAUAUAUAUAUAUAUAUAUAUAUAUAUAUAUAUAUAAUAUAUAUAUAAGUAGAGCUACUAUAUUAUCGAAGAUAUAGAGGAUCUGGUGCUUUCGAUUUUUUGAUUCUUAGAUCAAUCACUUUAAUCAUUUCUUAUCUUUGGAUUAAUAAUAUUAUUACCUUGCAGGGAUCACUCAAUCUUAGGGGUAUUAUUUACUCCUAAGGGGGACCGCAAUCAUCCAACCAUCCCAAUCAUACAAUUUUUAAUCAAAGGGUCAAAAAUUCGGAAACAUCAAAUCCUCUAUAUUUCUUAUAGCAUAGUAGUUCUACAUCUAUAUAUAUAUAUAUAUAUAUAUAUAUAUAUUAUAUAUAUAUUAUAUAUAUAUGAGUGAGGCUACUAUGCAUCGGAAGCACGGAGCCUUCCGUGCUUCCAGCUCGUUUUCGAUGUUGCGACUUUCGAAUCGUCGAUCGCUCCGUUAAACUGAUCUAUACUAUCAAUAGUAUCAAGUCCUUUGUACUAUUGAGUUUUUGGCCGUUGGAUGAAAAGAUACCGGUUAGAAGAUAGGUGUGCAUUUAAGAUUGAGUGGUGAUUGUUUAAUAGUAUAAUCUAACAUAUGGAAUAUGAUCAAGGGUAGAUUAACGGUAGAACUCAAUAGUACCAAGGACUUGGUACUAUCGAUAGUAUGGUAGUCAGACUCUAUAUAUAUAUAUAUAUAUAUAUAUAUAUAUAUAUAUAUAUAUAUAUAUAUAUAUAUAUUAAAAUAUAUAUAAUAUUAAUUAUUUUUAAUUAUAUAUAGGCUGAAUGAAUAAUCUGAGUUUAGUUAAAAUUGGGCCAAUGUUGUUAGCCUAUAAAAACAAACCCAAUAGACAAAUAAAAGAGUAAUAUUUCAUUAAAUUUAUAUAUUUUUUCUUUCUUUCUUUCUUUCUUUCACAGAGCUCUAAAAUUUCAAUAUGUUUCUCUCUUUUUUUUUUUCUGUCUCUCACCCUAAGUAGCCAAGCUAGAAGUCCUCCAAGUUACCAAAUAACAGUAUAUGUCCGACGUUGCCUAUCUUACUAUUAAUUGUAUGCUUGAGAAAAUAUACAGAAUAUUUUUAAAGUAAAAAAUUAUUAUUUAUAUAAAAUUUUAAUUUUAGUUAUAUAUGAUGGGAUAGUUUAAUCCAAUAUUUAUCGAUAUAAUUUAUUUAUUUUUGACUGCAUAAAUAAAAUUGAAUAAUAUGGAGAUUGAAGGCAGAAGAGAAGACAUGUGAGCCUGAAAAGAUUUAGUAUUCAACUCAUAAAUUAUUUUUCUUCAUAUUAUAAUACUAUAUUUUAUAUAAUUAUUUUGUACUUUGAACUAUUAGACAUAUUUUUGUAUCAAAUUAUAUAUAAUAUUUUAUACAAAUUAAACUAUUGAUCGUAUGAUGUUGAGAAUUUUAAAUGGCUCGUUUAGGGCUCAGGCUCGCUCAACUCGAAAUUAAGCUCGCCCGAGCUCGGCUCGAAUUAAUUUCAAUCCAAACUUGAGCUUAAAUUUAGGCUUGAAAUUAAUUUCAAGUCAAAUUUGAGCUAAGAUAAACUCGCUCGAGCUCGGCUCAUGUCCACCCCUAGAAAGGAGGGUGCGGGGCACCGUGCCCAACCAAGUGCCCAUAAAAUUUUUGUCCGGCAAACAACAAUUAAUGAAGGUGCAAAAUCAAAUUUGACCCUUAUGAAAGCAGAUGUACUGCAACUAGCUUUCCCUUUAAAACUGUUUGGAAAUGCGAAGGCAUCUAAAGAAAGACGAAAAUAUAGCCUUCAUUAUUAUCUCUUUUUCAGUACAGAAGAUUAAUUAUUUUUAGCGUUCAAAUUGUGCAACUCCUGAACGAACUCCUCCAGGGCUCUGUAGGAGCUCCCGCCUUCCCUCACCGCCUCCACCGCCUUCCUUCCGAGCUCCUUGGCCCGAUCCCUGACCGCCCUCCCUCUUUCGCCGCGCACCGCCUCCGCCAGCGUCCGCGCGAGCUCGUGGGGGUCGGGCACCGCCGCCAAACCGCCGUCGCACGCGGGGAGCGCCACGCCGGCCUCCUCGACCAGCAGCCGCGCGUUCACGUGCUGGUCGGCGGUCAUCGGCCACGUCAGCAUCGCCACCCCGGCCGACGCCGCCUCCACCAGCGAGUUCCAGCCGCAGUGCGUCACGAACCACCCGACCGCCGCGUGCGCCAGUAUCGCCACCUGCGGGGCCCACCCCCGCAGCACCAGCCCCCGCCCCCCGACCCUCUUAUCGAACCCCUCCGGCACCUCCGUGCCCCCCCGCGCCGCCCACACGAACACCGCCCCGCUCCGGUCGAGCCACGCCGACACCUCCGCCGCCGGCACCGAGCUGGGCCCGCCGCGGUGGUCGGCGGCGCCGGCCUCCGCGGCCGCGGCGACCAGGGGCCCCACCGCCCACACCCGCUUCCGCGCGAGAUCGUCGAGCGGGCGCUCCAAGUAGGCCGCCUCGAGCGCCUCGAACGAGUUCGCGACGAAGCCGUGGCUCUCGAGGUUCCAGAGGAAGUUGCGCCGCACGGAUUCGGAGAGCGGGUCGCCUUCCUUGUACGACCUGAAGAGGCGGGAGAGCUUGGACAAGGGGUAGCUCGGGGAAUUGGGUAUGGAGGGGAAGGGGACGAGGUAGUCCUCGCCCUCGCCCUCGCUCUCGGGCCUCUUGGGCACGCGCAGGAAGAGGGAGUGGAUCACGGCUGUGCCGAGGACGCCGGAGGGGGAGAAGACGAAGCCGGGGACGCCGAGCUCGGCGGCGAGGGGCUGGGCCCAGCCCACGAAGAAGUCGAAGACGACGGCGCAGACGGGCCUGGGGUGGGCCCGGGCCCAGGAGACGAGCGGGCCGUGGAGGGAGGCGAGGGCGAGCAUCAGGAUGCCGAAGUAGGUCGGGGCCAUGUCCUUGGCGUUCUCGAGGCCCGGGGCGAGGGAGGGGUGGGAGAGGGGGAGGGAGAGGGGCUGGAUGGAGGGGGACUUGGAGAGGAGAGGGGAGAGGAGGGGGAGGUUCCCCGAGCUCACGGCCACGGUCACGGCCACGCCGCGCCUCGCGAGGAGGUGGGCGAGGUCGAAGAGUGGGAGCAUGUGCCCCUGCGCCGGGAACGGUAUCACGAGCAAGUGGGGAGCUCCGUCGUGGGUUUCCGCCAUUGUUGACACACAGAAUCUCGCUCUCUCCCUCUCUCUCUCUCUCUGUCCCACCCCCCACUCUUCCCCCACUACACGUAGGAGGAAGUAAGGUGCGGUGUUCCUCUCCGUAAUCUUUUAUAAUUAGAUAUACAGAGGGGGCUUGGACUCUUUGACUAAAAGCUCAAGCGGUGGGCGGAAAAUAUAUAAAAGCUAAGAUAUAAUACGCAUGGGUCCCCCGGCCCAAUGCUGACGUAACCAGUGACGGUCUGAUCGGCGACACGUGGCAUAUUGUGAAUGGACAAGGUGAUGUAGCUGAUGCAGAUUUGCCGAAGUUAUUCAUGUGUAAUUGGUUAAAGAAGGCGACAAAGUCCAUUAAGGAGGAAAAAUUCUAGAAUGCAACGGGUAUAUUAAUGACGUGGCGUAAAAUACCAAUCAAAUUAAUUUUUUUAAGAAUAUAUGUUCCAUCAUGAUUGUAAAAAAGUAUUUUUAUUAUAUUUUUAUUUAAAAAGAAGGAAUAUGAUUGACUUGUUAUUGAUGACGUGGUGCAAGUGUGACAGUGUAGAAUUCCUCAUUAAGGAGAAAAUCCCUACAGGAUGUUUUUUUUUUUAACCCUUCCUUGGAGGAUCCAAUUUGCCAAUUUCUUAGCAGUGUCAUGUUAAAAAAAAAAAAACAAACAAACAAACAAAUUCUGCAUAUAAAACUAUCUUAUUGUUUAUUAAUAAUAAAAUAUAUUCGAGCUAUUCUACCAUCUUUGCAGGUGCAAGUCAACUUACCUUGUUGUUUGGAUAAAUUUUGUAUUGGUAAUUUCAGAGAAAAUUAUAUAAUUUUUGAAAAAAAAAUUAUAUUUUACUUCUCAAAAUCUAACAUUCUACUUUAAGGUUUUGUUGCAUCAAGAGUCUUUUAGCAACAUAUUUUGGUCCUUAAUUACCUCAUUACUUUUUGACUAGUUAGAUACCAAAUAAGCACAAGCAAAAAUAGAGAGAGAAAAAUUCAACAGAAUGAUGUAAUUAAAAUUUCUAAAACCUCUUACUUACCCUGUAAGUGACUUCUCCCCCUCUUGUAUAUUAGCGGCAGAUUUAAAAUUAAGUGAUGCACAUCUCUCUCUCUCUCUCUCUCUCACACACAAGAGUAAAAACUAAGUAAUUUAUAUCAUAAAAAAUGUUACCACACAUACAUUUAUUAUCCAGAAAUUGACAAUACACAGUACAAAACACAUACAAAUAUCACCCAACAACACACAACGAAAGAGAUUAAUCUGACAACACUUUGGCCUACAUAAUUUAGAAACAUAAUGGUUACUUAGACACAUCCAUUCUAACGCCCGAUAAGCUCUUGAAAAGCUCAAAAAUGAUUUAAUAUUCAAAUUUCUUAAAAUAUUGGAAGGGGUCUGUCUCGGACCACUGCAUUUCCAAACUAGCUGGGCGUACAACGAAAAGUAUGUGAUUGGAUUAGAUGGGGAUCGCACGGGAGACGGAGGGGUAGACGACUCUCGCGGGAUGGUCCAUGAUGCGGCGGCCCUUCAUGUGGCGGAAGAUGUACACCACCGCGCCGACGGGCCACUCCACCACCGCCGCAGCCGCCGCUGCGACCAACCCCAGAGUCGGCCCCACCACCUUGCACCGGCAAGGGUUGCUCCUCGUCCCGCACUGCACGCACCCGAAGUUUCGCAUCAUUUUACUCGACUGGUUCGAUCGAAUUGAACUAGAUGCUCUUCUUCCUAUCGACGUUUAUGGAGAGCAAUUUUGGAGAGUGUGAUGAGUUGAACAGAGAGAAUUUGCUGACCCUUAUAUAGACUCGAGGGCGAGACACGUGGCGCGCUGUGGUGGGUUAUGUGGAUCGCUACGUGUUGAACUACGAGAGAUGUGAGGCGAGUGUUGGCUCGCACGGGGAAUAGCGAUUUCACACGUGUAGCACCCGUUUCUUUGGAUCAUCACGAAGUGUGCAACGGACAAAUCGCUAAUGGUAAUAAAUAAAUAGAAGGGAAAAACGUAUGAGAGUCACCAAACUUUAAAAUUUUAUAAUUGCAUGUUUUAACUUUUGUAAAAUAAUUUAAUAGAUUUUCAUUCUCUUUUUAAUGCAAAAAUAUUAAUUAAGCAAAAGUUUUUGCUCCCGAGGCCUACUUCUCCGAUUUAAUGUUUGAAAAUUAAGUAUCGUAUUUAAAAAGUGGGAUGAAACGAUCUCCCUUUUUUUUUUUUUUUUCCCAUGCACAGAAAAAAUAGAAUUUUAAGUCUACUUAAAAAAAGUGGCCACCGCAUAUAAUUAUUUAGUAAAGUUUAGGAGAUAUAAUCGUCAAAAUUUAGAAUUCAGAAGUCUAUUUAUAAAAGUGCUAAGUUUUAAGGAGUGUUUGUACUUUUUUAAAAAAAAUAAUAAUUGGUGUGGAUAAGAGUUCUGAUAGAGCUUGAACUGGAUGAGAAUAGCCCAGACACUUGUUGGGCCUAAAGCACUCCUGAAGUUCAAAUAUGGCCUAAGUAGCCCUGGGCCCAACAGAAACAGUAGUAGCCCAUUAACUUUCAUUAUUGAGGUGUACUUAGGUGUGUAACGGCCAGGGGUCGGCCCCGCCCGGCCCGGAUUCACAUCCGAGCCGUGCCGUGGUGGGCCGGAUGCAAUCAACCAUCCGGCCCAUAACGGCCUCCAGGCCCGGAAGGUCUGGGCCCGGCCAGGCCGUGCCGGGCUUCGGGUUAAUCCUUUAAAAUUUUUAUUUUUUAUAAAAAAUAAAAAUUUUAAACUAUGAUCAAUUAAGUAUUUCGAUUUAAAUCAUAUUUUGAUUGAAAAUUUUCAAAUUUAUAAAUAUUUUAAAUUUUUUUAAAAAAUUUAAUAAAUAAUUUUAUAAUUAUUUUGAAUAUAAAUUUAAGUUAGCUUUUGAUUCAUUAGACCAAACAAUUUAGUCCAAUAGACCAAAAAUCCUCUCUUCCAAGGUCUACCACUGCAAACCUUGAGAGGAGAGCUCAUGAGGAGAAGGGCUCCCCCGGAGCUCGUCAUGCUGGCCCGGUCGGCACGGCCCAAGUGGGCUGUGCCGGGGCGGGCCGUGUUGGGCCGGGCCGUCUGCUUACCUCCGGCUCAGCACAGCCUGGGCCCAUUACGUGUCGAACCAUGUCGGGCCGUCGGACCGAAAAGUUUAGGCCCAACAGGCCCGAACUAUCGGGCCGGGCCAGCCCGACACAGGUACUACAGUAUCCGUGCCGUGCUGUAGCUUGGCCCAAGGGGCCGUCCGGCCCGUUUUACAUCCCUGUGUAGUCCAUCGGAUCAACCACACAUAUAUAUAUGUAAGGUGGCAACAUCACAAUUUGUGUAAGUUUGGAGGCAUGAAUAUGUUGAUCGGUAAUAUACGUCGUGCUUAUUUAAGCAGUAUGUAGUAGCAUAUGGUUGAGGCAAGCAAUAAUAGAUAUCAAUACCAUAUUAUUGUUCAUUAAAUUAGUUUCUUCAAAUAUGAUAAACUGCGUAGAAGCCGAUAGAACUCAAAAAGUUUGAUUUCCAAUUCACAAAAAAAAAAACUACGAGAAAGUCGACGUUUUACCAAAUAACUUAUUCCAAUAACUAGAUAGAAAUUACUUGAAGUGGAACUCUUCAUUCAACAGAUACAAGAGGCUUACAAGGGUAAGUAAUAUUAGUUAAUUAAUAAGUUAUUAAUUGUGAAUUAAUGCGAAAUAAUUGUUUGUUUCUAAUAACUUAAGCUAGCAAAGAGCCAAAGAAUACUAUUUUUAUAUUUUUUAGUUAACAUUUCUUCAAGAUUUUUAAAUAAACCUAAAAUGUAAAUUUAAUUAAAUGAAAAAAAUUAAAUAAUGUUAGAAAACUAACGAGAUUCAAAUUCAGAACUUUCAUUCUGAUAUUAUAAAAAUAAUAUAAAAUAAUUAUUUUUAAGGGUUAUUUGCAUACAGGUCCCUGCAAACAUAGUGAAUUGCGGAAAUAUCCCUGCAAAACGGAAACUCCAUAAGUUGUCCCUGCAAAAGUCCUAAGUUAUGCAGAUAUGUCCCUGCCGUCCAGAUCUGUUAGAAAUUUUUCGUUAACCACGGUUAAAAUACUUAACCAUGGUUAAUUAUAGUGUAAAUUGACGUAUUUACCCUUCUUCCUCUUCCUCCUCUUCCUCUUCCUUCUUCUUCGUCGCCGGCGAGGAGAUGCGGCGGCGGCGGCGACGGCGGCGGCGGCGGCGACGACGAACCCUCUUACUUUUCCUCUUCCCUCUUCCUCUUUUCCCUUCUUCUUCCUUCUUCUUUCUUCCUCUUCCUCUUCCAUCUUCUUCGUCACCGGCGAGGGAGAAGAGUCUCGUCGGGGUCGGCCUCCGAAAGGCGGGCGAGAAGCUCGAGGGCGUUGUUGUCAACAAGGGCGGCGACGAGGGCGUGCGCGGGGUCGUCGUGGUCGCCGAGGACGUCGGUGUCGGUGAGGUCGGUGAGGAGGGAGACGACGUCGACGGCGAUGUCGGCGAUGUCGUGGCCGAGGAGGCCAACGAGGGAGAGGACGGCAUUGAGGGCGACGAGCUCCGGGUAGAGAGCUCCGGUGCCCCGGCGUUCUUCCCUCUUCUUCGUCGCCGGCGAACCCGACCCCGCGCCGCCGCCGCCGUCGUCCGCUUCGAUGAUCCAAAGAGAAAGAGAAAGAGAAGGGAAGAGGAAAACUUUUAGAGGAAUAUAUUUGUGAGGGUAAAAUGGUCAUUUCACGAAUCCACUGUUAAAAAAUAAACAGAUCACUAACGGAUGUUAACCGGAGGGACAUAUCUGCAUAACUUACGACUUUUGCAGGGACAACUUAUGGAGUUUCCGUUUUGCAGAGAUAUUUCCGCAAUUGGCUAUGUUUGCAGGGAGCUGUAUGCAUUUGACCCUUUUUUUAAAUAGUUUAAACUAGUAAAGAAGAAUAUUUUUAUUUUUAUAUUUAACACUAUAUGAAAUUAUCAAUCGUUCUUGUGUUAAAAGACAGAAUAAUUGAUAUUUAAGUAUUUAAAUUUUAAAAAUAAUUACUUCGUACUUUCCGAAACUACAAUACGGAAUUAACCUGUUGGUUUAUUUAUUGGGUCCUGUGGCUUUUGUAGUAUUGUCAGAUGAGAAGAAGAGAGAGUUGUACGAUGCAGGAUUUUAUGGUCCGAUUCAACACGACGAAGACGAGGUCGAGGUAAGAAACAUUUCUACAAUUGGAUCUUUGAAGCGCUAUUUCCUCUUAUAUCAAUAGAAUGACUCAGAAUUUAAAAUACUAAAAUAAGUAUUUUUGGAGUAUGGAUAUUGAAGGAGAAACUAUAUUUUAUUAAUUAGAACACGGGAACAUUGAGCAGCUCCGUAAUUAGACUCAAAACUCAAAGCUAGCAUCCUGCCAUACGGCGAAGGAUAUGUUGGGCCGAAUCAUUUUUGAAAUGAUGGAAGGCCGGAUUGGAUCGAGUCGCAAACGAAACUAACGGGUGUUGUGUCUGUGCUUUCUAAGUAAAUUGAUAACAUCUUUUAAGAGCUCGAGCUUUUGAGGUUUUGCACCAACGAUUCGAUACGUGGCAUAAGAGUCAGAAAUAAUGGCUUCAAUUCGUAGCAUGACCCAACCUGACCUAACAAUCCUCUCCGUAGCACCUACAAAAUUUCACAGCAUGCCAGUAUCGAACUCGCAAUCUCUGACUCUUAUACUACUUAUCAGAUCGUUGGCGCUAAAUAUUAAUUAUAAAAAUUCAAAAUAUUAGAAAAAUAUAACUAAUUCAUUUAAAGUAUAAGGCACAAUGCAUACGGGUCUCGAUUUUGGCUUGGAUUUUGCCGCUUUGAAUAUAGCUCGGCCAUAUCUGAUCUCAUGCCAUUUCAAACGUGAAUCGGCCUAAUCUGGUCUCGCAUCACAAGGCAGGAUACUAACUCCUUUGAACCAACUCUGCAUGAAAGCUUCUUAUAUAUGAUUAAGUAGUUGAUGCACCAAAAUCUAGCUAUUUAGUAAUUAGAUGAAUCCUACUAACAUUCUAUAACCAAUGGAUAAAGAAAUAUCCACUCAAAUAAUAACUCAAAUAUUUUGUUAAAAUUUUAAAUCGAUCGCUAAUAGAAUUUCAAUUUAAACUCUAAUCAAGUUUGGAUUACUACUCUCAACAUUAAAGAUCUUUAUUUUCUCAUGUAAGGUGGAUUCAUUAAAAAUAAAAGAUAUUAUUAACAUAUCUAAAUUUACAAUUUGCGGUUUACACUCUUCAAUGAAUCUACUUAUUUUCAGUCAAUUCAAGGUAACUAGAUUCAGUGCAUAUAUUUGUUACAAUUAAGUACUCUAGAUCUAUUAAUAUUAUUUUUUUUUAAGGAAAAAAAAACAUGCUAACCGCUUCGUUUAUUUUUUUAUAAAAAUAAAUUUAGAUAGAAAUAUGAAUCAAUUAGAAUUCGAACUUAAAAUUUCGAGUACCAACCAUCAAAUUUUUUGUCAAUUAUGCUAGCUCUAUUAAUAUAUUACUAGAUGAUUACGUAAUUACUGAUUUUUCUUUUUUUCCGAAGGGCUUUCAUGAGUUUUUUCAAGAAAUGCUUCUUCUUAUGGCUAAAGUGAGGAGAGAGGUACGUAAUUUCCAUUCCAUCAAAAGUAUUUCGUUGUUUUGAGUAAUUGCUUACUGUUUAAUUUAGGCCUAUCUUAUAAGUAAAUGCCAUUCACAAAUUUGGAACACCUCUUUAGAUAUUUUUUUUUUGGAUAACUUAAAAUGACGGUGAAAAUCCGAAGAAAAAUUAUUCGGUUGCUAGCGAUUUUCACUAUCAUUUAAAGAGAAAAAAAGUUUUCUAAAAUAUUUUACUACGGUGGUUAUUAGAGGUGACGAAUGAUAUAUGAUCGAACAAUGAUUGCUCACAGGAGAGGAAAUACAGUUUAGCGGAGUUACAGCAAAUGUUGGUUGAGAUGGCUUGCAGUUUUGCGCCAUCUCCUCCUCCUAGUAAUGGGUUCGCCGCCGGAGUAUCGACCGUAGAUGCGGGAAGAUUCGGCAAUGGUGCAGAUCGAAUGGCGGAAAUUAAAUCCGGUGUUCGUGUGUCGGGUGUAGGGAGAUUGGGGAGCACAGGCUCUUACUAUGUGUAGCACUUGUCCUGAUAUAGAGAUGUUGUGUGUAAAAAUAUUUUUGUAGUUGGAUGAGUUAAUUUUGCAAAUAGUGGAGUUAGAAAUUUUGGGUUUUUGUGAUCGAAAAUAAGAAGGGAACUUCAAUUAGGUUUAUUGAGGUUUAGCGGUUUUUUAGUUUGCUAUUCUGUGGUUUAAAAUAUUUUAUUAUUUUAUUUUAUAGUAUUGUUCGUGGAAAUCUGACAUCAAGAAAAAAUUGGUAAAUUAAGGAAUGAUUGCAAUUAGCCCCUUGAAAAAAAUUAUUUUAAAAAUAGUUUCAGCAAAUUUAAAUUUGCAAGAAUGCCCAUGAUCUUACCAUGCAGGCGUCACAUCAGGGCCACGUGGACGGGUUGGGGUGUUAAAUUCAAACACGGUGAAUGAUUCACCGUGUAUCAUACUUAUCUUUUCAUAAUACGUAUAUUUUUUUUUUCUUCCCUUUUUCCAGACACAGACACGGUGAAUGGUUUACCGUGUUUAACUUAAAUAUCUAAUCCAGCCCGGCCCGCAUGGUGCUGACGUGGCGCCUACGUGGCAGGGCCAAGAUUAUUUUUGUAAAUUUAAAUUUAUUGGGACUAUUUUUAAAAUAAAUUAUUUUCAAGAGGCUAAUUGCAAAAAAAAGCCCCUGUUUGCAUAAAAAUAUAAAGAAAGUAAAAUAAUACAUGUGUCAGAUUGUGGUUGAUAAAAUGAAUCGCUUAGAAUCACGCAGUUUAUAAAUUUUAAUAUUUUUUAGUGUUACCGGCCGUUCCUAUAACAAGUGACAAAGAACUUGAUAAUUGGUAUCCAAAAUUUCAAAUUUGAAUUCUAAUUGAUUCACAUUUCUAUAGUAUACUACCUAUCUCUAAAAAAAAAAAAAAAUUAGUGUUGUAUCUUUAGGUCUUUACAUCUUUACAGUAGGGAUGCUAAUUCAACUCGUUGUUCACAAGUCAACUCGUGUUCGACUCGAAAUGAAAUCAAAAUUGAAUCGCUCGUUUAACAAACGAGCCAAAUACGAGCUGAAUUUUUCAGCUCAUUUAAUAAACAAGGCGAACACGAGCUAGGGUCAUCUCGUGUUCGGCUCGAUAAUAAUUAAAAUUAAGCUCGUUUAAUAAACAAGCCGAACANAAUUUUUAGUCAAAAAUAUAUAUAUAUAAAGCCGAGUUCAAUUAUAAAGACUUAUCUAUACUAAUCUAUGAAUCCCCAAUAUCUUGCUGACAUGGCAUUACCUCCUUCUUGCUGAUAUCGCUUCAAAGAAAAAUUAUUCGUCGAAUGUUUUUUUGGUUGCUAGCGAUUUUCACUAUCAUUAAAAGAAAAAAAAAGUUUUCUAAAUUAUUUUCGAACUGCAUUAGUUAUUAGAGGUGACGAAUGACGUAUGAUCGACCAAUGAUUGUUCACGGGAGAGGAAAUACAGUUUACCGGAAUUACAGCAAAUGUUGGUUGAGAUGGCUUGCAGUUUUGCGCCAUCUACUCCUCCUAGUAAUGGGUUCGGCGCCGGAGUAUCGACCGGAGAUGCGAAAAGAUUCGGCAAUGGUACGUGCAGAUCGAAUGGCGGAAAUGAAAUCCGGCGUUCGUGCGUCAGGUGUAGGGAGAUUCGGCAGCACCGGCUCUUAUUAUGUGCAGCACUUGUCCAGAUUUAGAGAUGUUGUGUGUAUAAAUAUUUUUGUAGUUAAUUGGAUGAGUUAAUUUUGGGAAUAGUGAAGCUAGAAAUUUUGGGUUUUUGUGAUCGAAAAUAAGAAGGGAACUUCAAUUAGGUUUAUUGUGGUUUUGCGUAUUUUUAAUUUGCUAUUUUGUGGUUUAAAAUAUUUUACCAUUUUAUUUUAUAGUCUUGUUUUUGUUUGGUUGUGGAAAUCUGACAUCAAGAAAAAUUUUAAAAUGCUAAAAUUGGUAAAUUAAGGGAUGAUAACGUAAUAUAUUUUACAAAUUAUAAGAUGUUUGUAUAUGCUAGUGUUGUUCACCUUUUAAGUUGAUAGAAACGUAUAGUAUUUAUCUGAGGUAAUUUUAAAUUUGACUAUUUAAUCAAAAUAUUUAUUUUAUUAUCAGUCUUUAAAUCUAUUUGACUUUGAAACUUAAGUUCCUUUUCUAUUUUAAUAAAUUUUAUAGUUACGAAACUUACAUCAAAUACUUAGUGUAUUUGAUGUAAGUUUCGUAACUAUAAAAUUUAUUAAAAUAGAAAAGGAACUUAAGUUUUGAAGUCAAAUUAUCGUUUACUUAUUCAAAUUAAAUGAUAUGACAGUAAAAUUUAUUUUUUGAAAUAUCAGAUUGUAGAUUCAAAAUAAUUUUUACCUUUUAUUAUCAUGUGAGAUUGGAUUGAUGUCCGGUUUUGUUUAGACCUGGGCGAAACUCUGGGCUGGGCUGGGCCUGAUUGUGGGCUUGGAUUUGUUGGCUGGUCUGAGGCCGGAUCGGCCCAGUAUAUAUUUUUAUAUAUGUAUAUUUGUAUAUAUAAAAUUCAGAAUAUUCAUGAUUUGAAUUGUAAUUUUUCUACUGUACCCCAAGAGGUAAAGUAAGUGGCAUUCCUUCUUGGAAAGGCUAUGGGCCAAUGAUUUAAAACACGGUUCGAACUGGCAAGUUUGAUCAGUCUGAUCGUAGCCUAGUUUAUGAAGUGAUUCUGUUCAACUCUUUAAACUAAAUAAGUAAAAAAAUUACUUUAAACCGUUUGAAUCAGGUUAGGUGGUAUAUAUAUAACUGAUAAGCGCAAGAAAGUGAUUUUUUGGUCUUUUCGGUCUUUUUUUGAAUUCUUGGAAGCAGUUUCACCCUCUUUUCCAAAUCUUUGGUCUUUUCUUGAAAUUUUGGAGGGAGCUAUGUGCGUGACAUAGGGAUGUCAAUGGAUAUGGAUAUCCGAAAUUUUAUCUGAAUCCGAAUCCGAAUAAAACGAAUAUAUCCGAUAGAUAUGGAUAUGGAUUGGAAUAUAGAUUCGGAUAUGAAUAUCAAAAUUUAAAACCCGACGAAUAUGAAUUCGGAUAUGGAUUUUAAUUGUACCCAACCCGAAUCCGAACCCGAUCCGAACCCGAAUUUAUUUUGUAUUAUAUAUAUAUAUAUAUAUAUAUAUAUAUAUNAAUAUAAUAUAUUUUGAAAUAUUGAAAAAAGAAAUAAUUGUUUCGGGUUCAAAUUUUCGGGUUCGGAUUCGUGUUUCGGAUUUUUGAUCGGAUUCGGGUUUGAAUAUAGAUUAUUAAAAUCCGUCAGGUUCGGAUUCGGAUUUUCAAAAACCCGCCCCGAAUCCGAUCCGUUGACAUCUCUAGCGUGACGGCACGUUUACCACCCUCAUGAAAACAAAUGCUUUAUUUAAUUAUCUCGCGCACUCCUUUUUUUUUCUAUAAUAACGAAUUAAUAAAAAGAGUAUUAUUACAAGAGUGUUGGAACCUAUUCAACUAAGAUAUGAUUAGAUCACUUCACCAUCUAAUAAUAUUGAAGGGUUUUUAUUCAUUUUCAGUGGGAGACAACUCUUUUCACGCAUCAAUGCUUCUGAGAAAUGCUAUCAUAUAGAUUUUCAAUGAGUUUGUAUUAAAAAAUACCAGAUGAGUUUUGGCUCCCUUCACUGUGUAAAAAAAAAAAAAAAGUUUAGAAGGUCUAGAUCAUGUACAAUAAUACUGAUCAUUGAUUUGAGAAUUUUAUCAUCGAAAAUAAAUCGAUAGUAAAUUAAGCAGUUUUCUAUUAAUAGUAUUUCUAGUUUAUAUAUAUAUAUAUAUAUAUAGAGUUUUGCUAGAAUACUAUCGGUAGUAAACGAGCCAUUUUACUACUCAUUUAUUUUCAAUGAUAGAACUUUCAAAUUGACGAUCGGCUCCGUUGAACAUGAUCUAUACCACUUGAAAUGUUUAGAACUUAAAUUUUAAAUCUUUUCGACAUCAUUUGCCUAAUGAUCAAAGGAUUUCAAAAUUUGUAAUUUUAAUGGUCGAUAAGAGGCGUUUUCUCGUUUAACGGCGUAAAGAUAUCAAAAUCAAUUAAAUUUUUGUUAGAAAAUUCUUUAAACUAUUUAAAACAAGAUCUAUACUCUUGAUCUUGAUUACAAGACUCCUAUCAUCAUUUUUUAAAGAGUAUUCAUUUUCAGCCUUUUAUUUUUCUGUUCAUUUGAUGAAUAAAAGAACAAUAUCGAAAGUGCAUGAAAUUUGAUUUCUAGGUAAUUUAAAUGGUUUAGAUCAUAUUUAACGAAGCCGAUCGUCAAUUUGGAAGCUCUAUCAUCGAAAACAAAUCGAUAUUAAACGUCUUGUUUACCUACCGAUUAGUAUUCUAGCUCAAGUAUAUAUAAGUAUUAUGAUAUUAUAUAUAUAAUAUAUAUAUAUAUAUAUAUAUAGAGUGCUAGGCUACUAUAUUAUCUAUAGUACCGAGCUCCGGUACUAUAGUGUUUGCUUUCGAUCUUUAGGGGCGUGUUCAAAUCAACGAUCCACACCGUUAAAACUGAUCUAGGGAUUUAAAGUUUCUAGAAAUAAAAUUUUAUAUUUUUUCGACAUAGUUUACCUGUAUGAUCAACUAUUUCAAAAUUGUCAAUUUUCAAUGACUAUUAUGGCGAGUUGGAGUUUACGUGUAAAAGAAUCUAAAUUUCUUCAAAUUUUGAUAGAAAAUACUUUAAAAUAUAUAGAUUAAAGUAACAUUCUGAUCUUGAAUUUAAAAGUUCUAUGCUCAAAUUUUAAAAAUUAUUCAAUUUCCACCGUCCAUUUUGAUAUAAUUUAUUUACUAAAUAAACGAUAUCGAAAAAAACUAAAUUUUAUUCCUAAGAAAUUCAUAUACCUUAGAUCAUAUUUAACGUGUGGAUCAUUGAUUUGAAUGCCCUAAGAUAAAAACAAAACACUAAUAGUACCGGAGCUCGUAUAAUAGAUAGUAUAGUAGCCUAAUUAUAAUAUAUAUAUAUUAUAUAUAGUAUAUAUAUAUAUAUAUAUAUAUAUAUAUAUAAUUAGGCUGGAAUACUAUUAAUAGUAAAACAUUCUUUUUACUAUCAAGUUUUUACCCUUGGAUGAAACGUUUAGGGUUAGUAUGAUAUUAGUCAGUUUAGAGUUAAGGUGGUUCCCUUAGGGUUGAGUGGUCGCCACAGGGUUAUAGUAUUUAAUCCAAUGGUUAGAAAUGAUGAAAAGAGUUGAUCUCAAAGGCUAAAAAACUGGUACAACAAUGGCAUUUUGCUACUAAUAGUGCCAUCCAAUCUUAUAUAUAUAUAUAUAUAGAGAGAGAGAGAGAGAGAGAGAGAGAGAAUUAAGUUGGAACAUAUGCUAAGCCUACCGUCUACAAAAAGAGUAAUCCAUUUUCUAAGAUUUAAAUUUUUAAAAAAGUUUAGCAAUGAAAAAAGGGAUGAUAAGAAUAGAAAUAUGGACUAAUAAAAUUAUAACCAACUUUUGGUUGUAGGACUAACAACGUUAUAUCUAUAUUUCCCAGGUGAUAAUUUUUGGGCGGUUCAAAACAUUUCAUUCUUUGUCGGUAUUCUUUAACGCAUUUAUAUAUGGACCAACUGCCAAGCAAUUUCAGAUCGAGAUGGUCAACUAUGUUAGAUAUAGUAUCCUUAUAUCUAUAUAUCUUUAUUAUACAAAGAUUUCGAAUCAAAAUAUGGAUGCUAAACAAAUAUUGAAUUUUAUAUAUCUAUAUAUGUAUGAGUUGGACUUACAUAUUUGGACGAAUAAGAAUUCUUCUUCUUCUUUUUUUUUUAGAGAUAGAUAGCACGCUAUCCGUUUCGUUUAUUUUAUUUAGAAAUAAACUUAGCUGGAAAUAUGAAUCAACUAGAAUUCGAACUUGAGUCUCGAGUACCAACCACAGAAUCUUUUGCCACUUGCUCUAGGGACGGUCGGUUGGACGAAUAAGAAUUCACUACGGGGCAUAUUUGACCUUGUGAGUGCUGUUGAGGGAAAGAAAAGUCUAAUGAUAAGUUUUUUUUUUUUUAGAGAGAUUGGUAGCAUGCUAUCUAUUUCGUUUAUUUCAUUUAAAAAUAGAUUUAGCUGGAAAAGUCAAUCAACUAGGAUUCGAACUUGAGUCUCAAAUACUAAACAUCAAGUCUUUUGCCACUUGCUCUAAGGAUGGUCGGUAAGUCUAAUGAUAAGUUGUUUGCAUAUAUGUAUGAUCUGUUUGUCUCUAUAUCUAAUUUUUUAUAUCUGAAUAGUAUCAUGAUUCAUUGAUUCGAACAGUGUAAGCACCGAAUAUCUAUAUCCUUAUAUGCAUUCGAAUUCCGGGUAAAUACACUCGGAUAUAUAUCAUAUACAGUAAUGUAAGCAGGCAAACAACAAUUAAUGAAGGUGCAAAAUCAAAUUUGACACUUAGGAAAGCAAAUGUAGUGCAACUAGCUUUUCCUUUAAAAUUGUUUGGAAAUGCGAAUACAUCUAGAAAGCUAUUUGGUUGCAUACAUUUUCAACUGCAUUGCAGUUGAAAAUACAUGUAUCUAUUAAUUUUUUGUUUAGUUUGGUAUAGUUAAGCCCAACUACUGCAGUUAUAUAUGCAUGAGAAGACCCAAUUGCAGCAGUUGCAGUUGAGCCGGAAUCGACUCUCCCAUUAAAAAAAAAACAAAGUAUGAUUUUUUUUUUUCAUACGUUUUUUUUUUAAUUUUUUUUUUUUAAAUACAUAUUCAUAAAAUCUGAUAGGAUUUAGUAAUGUCUGUUAGGGUCAAUAAAUUUUUUUCAUAUGCUUUUUAUUUUUCAGUUUGCUAAUUUAAUAAUAUCUAAAUUUUUAUUUUGACCAAAUUUAUAAUAUAUUUAUAUUUAAAACUUAUUAAAUUCAUAUAUAAUUUUAUAAUAUAUAAAUUAUAUAUAGAUAUAAAAAUCUUAAUUAAUAAUUAAAAAAUAAUUACGUUAUGCUAAGAAUAGAUAAUCUCACCUUUCUAUCUAAAAAUUGACAGAAUUUACAAAUACAAACUUUUGCAAACUACCAAACAGAAAAAAUAUAAUUGCAGCAGUUGCAAUUGCAUCAAACUAAACAGACUAGGGCUUAGUUUAGUAUUGAGGUCUAUCUAACGCUAUUCGAUAAAAUAGAGUUGAGAAAAAAGCAUAUAAAGAUAUGCUUCUGCAUUCUCCGGUGGGACCGCAGAAAAUAUAUCGUAACCGACUCAUCGCGAUAUGCGGAACGCAAUAUUACGUACGGAAACAAACAAGGUAUUUUUCAAACGUACUUUCUUACCACACGUAACGUAAUCUUCCCGCAAUUCUAAACGAAGCCUAGGUACAGUUAUAACUGUAACAUAUACUUUUAAUUAUAUUAUUUUUAUAGCUACAUCAAACCAAACAGCCCUAACGGAGACGAAGUCUAUUGUCUUAGUUAUUAGCUCUUUUUCAGUACAGAAAGAUUAAUUAUUUAGUGUUCAAAUUGUGCAACUCCUGAAUGAACUCCUCCAGGGCUAUGUAGGAGCUCCCGCCUUCCCUCACCGCCUCCACCGCCUUCCUUCCGAGCUCCUUGGCCCGAUCCCUGACCGCCCUCCCUCUUUCGCCCCGCACCGCCUCCGCCAGCGUCCGCGCGAGCUCGUGGGGGUCGGGCACCGCCGCCAAACCGCCGUCGCACGCGGGGAGCGCCACGCCGGCCUCCUCGACCAGCAGCCGCGCGUUCACGUGCUGGUCGGCGGUCAUCGGCCACGUCAGCAUCGCCACCCCGGCCGACGCCGCCUCCACCAGCGAGUUCCAGCCGCAGUGCGUCACGAACCACCCGACCGCCGCGUGCGCCAGUAUCGCCACCUGCGGGGCCCACCCCCGCAGCACCAGCCCCCGCCCCCCGACCCUCUUAUCGAACCCCUCCGGCACCUCCGUGCCCCCCCGCGCCGCCCACACGAACACCGCCCCGCUCCGCUCCAGCGCCGCCGCCGCCGCCGCCGCCUGCGCCGGCGUCAGCACCGCCAGGCUCCCGAAGCACACGUACACCACCGACCCCUCCGGGAACCGGUCGAGCCACGCCGACACUUCCGCCGCCGGCACCGAGCUGGGCCCGCCGCGGUCAUCGGCGGCGCCGGCGCCGCCGACCUCCGCGGCCGCGGCGGCUAGGGGCCCCACCGCCCACACCCGCUUCCGCGCGAGAUCGUCGAGCGGGCGCUCCAAGUAGGCCUCCUCGAGCGCCUCGAGCGAGUUCGCGACGAAGCCGUGGCUCUCGAGGUUCCAGAGGAAGUUGCGCCGCACGGAUUCGGAGAGCGGGUCGCCUUCCUUGUACGACCUGAAGAGGCGGGAGAGCUUGGGCAAGGGGUAGCUCGGGGAGUUGGGUAUGGAGGGGAAGGGGACGAGGUAGUCCUCGCCCUCGCCCUCGCCCUCGCCCUCGCCCUCGGGCCUCUUGGGCAUGCGCAGGAAGAGGGAGUGGAUCACGGCGGUGCCGAGGACGCCGGAGGGGGAGAAGACGAAGCCAGGGACGCCGAGCUCGGCGGCGAGGGGCUGGGCCCAGCCCACGGAGAUGUCGGAGACGACGGCGCAGACGGGCCUCGGGUGGGCCCGGGCCCAGGAGAGGAGCGGGCCGUGGAGAGAGGCGAGGGCGAGCAUCAGGAUGCCGAAGUAGGUCGGGGCCAUGUCCUUGGCGUUCUCGAGGCCCGGGGGGAGGGAGGGGUGGGAGAGGGGGAGGGAGAGGGGCUGGAUGGAGGGGGACUUGGAGAGGAGAGGGGAGAGGAGGGGGAGGUUCCCCGAGCUCACGGCCACGGUCACGGCCACGCCGCGCCUCGCGAGGAGGUGGGCGAGGUCGAGGAGUGGGAGCAUGUGUCCCUGCGCCGGGAACGGUAUCACGAGCACGUGGGGAGCUCCGUCGUGGGUUUCCGCCAUUGUUGACACACAGAAUCUCUCUCUCUCUCUCUCUCUCUCUCUCUCUACCCUUUGGGGAUUAUGCGGAUCGGCGCCAAGUGGCGGGUCCGACGAUUGCCUUUGUCAGUUGCUUUCUCUCUCUCUCUCUCUCUCUCUAAGAACACAGGUUUUUUUUUCCUUUCCGUCUGUGAACGUGGGAGCAUGUGCCCCUUUAACCCCAAAUAAAAAAUUUGUGGGGUGGCCGAGUGGGGCACCCCACCGUAGGAAUAGGGAUGGUAUUAAGUUAAUCCCAUCCUUAUUUAAUUUUUUAAUAUAAAUAUAAUUUUUAAUUUUAAAAUUUAAAAUUUUAAAUAUUUAAAUUUUAAAAUUUAAAAUUAUUAUUUUAAUUAUUUAAAUUUUAAAUUUGAUAUUUUAUAUUUGUAACUUUAAAUUUUUAAAUUUGAGACUUAAAAUUAUAAAUUUAAAUUUAAAUUUUAAAAUUUAAAAUAUUUAAAUUUUAAAUUUAAAUUCAAAUAUAAAAAUUAGGAUAAAAUUAUUAUUUUUUAUUUAUAAUAAUUUACUAUCUUUUUUAUCCCAGCUACUCUAAUCAAACACUAUUUUACUUAUACCUGAACUAAACUCAAUUCUCAAUCAAACACAAAAUUACUCUAACUUUAUUUUAAUUUUAAACUUAAGUCUAUUUUUAAAAUAACUAAUUCUUACUUAACUCCAAGCUAAACUAAGCGUUGUAAUAGUGGAGGCUUGGACAUUGUGACCAAAAGACCAAGCAAUGGGAGGAAAAUAGAAAAACGCUAAGAUAUAAUACGCAUGGGUCCCCCCAAUGCUGACGUAACCAGUGACGGUCUGCUCGGCGACACGUGGCAUAUUUUGAGUGGACAAUGUGAUGUAGCAGGUCUAGAUUUGCAGUGAGUUAUACAUGUGUAACAGGUUAAAGAAGGCGACAAAGGCUUCUACCCAAGACUUCAAGUUCAUAUCCUAAUUUAUUCAUAUUUUCGACUAAAUUUAUUUCUAAAUAAAAUAAAUAAAACAGAUAAUAUACUAUCUAUAUUUAAAAAAAAAAAACAAAUAAACAAAAUCUGCACAUAAAAUUAUCUUACUGUUUAUUAAUAAUAAAAUAUAUUUGAGCUAUUCUACCAUAUUUACAUGUGCAAGUCAACUUAUCUUAUUGUUUGGAUAAAUUUUGCUGGUCUCUAAUGGUAAUUUGAGAGAAAAUUAUAUAAUUUUUGAGAAAAAAAUUAUAUUUUGCUUUUCAAAAUCUAAUGAUUGUUUGGACCGACCGUCCCUAAAGUAAGUGACAAAGGGCUUGAUGGUUGAUACCUGAGACCUAAGUUCGAAUCCUAGUUGAUUCACAUUUUCAGCUAAAUUUAUUUCUAAAUAAAAUAAAUGAAGCGAAUAGCGUGCUAUCUAUCUCUCAAAAUUAAACAGAAUGAUGUAAUUUAAAUUUCUAAAACCUCUUACUUUCCUCUUUCCUGUAAGUGACUGCCCCCCCCCCCUUCGGCAGAUUUAUUACUCCUAAGUUUCUAAGUUUUUAAAAUUAAGUGAUGCAUCUCUCUCUCUCUCUCUGUCUCUCUCUCUCUCUCUCUCCCUCUCUCUCUCUCUCUCUCUGACGCAUACACACCAGAGCAGAAACUAAGUAAUUGACGUCAUCAAAAUGUUACCACACAUAUAUCUCUUAAAAAAAAAAAAAGAGAAAACUUCAAAAAAAAAAAUUUGUAUUUCGCACUUUUUCAUUUUAGUAUCCUGUGGUUUAAAAUAUAUCAAGGUAGUACCCUAUAGUUCCUUACUUUCUUAUUUUAGUACCCUGUGCUUUAAAGUGUAUCAAAUUAGUACCAUGUGGUUUAAAGUGUAUCAAAUUAGUACUCUGUGAUUUUAUUUUUUGUAUCAUGUUAGUACCUUGUGAUUUUAUUUUUAUAUCAAGUUAGUACUCUGUAGUUUUAUUUUUCUCUUAAUGAAAUAUUAAAUUACAAGAUUCUAAGUGAGAAAAUGCAAAACCAUAGGGUACUAAAAUGAAAAAGUGCGAAACCACGUAAUACUAACUUGAUACACUUUAAACCAUAGGGUAUUAAAGUGAAAAAGUGCGAAACCACAUGGUACUAACUUGAUACACUUUAAAUCACAAGGUACUAAAGUAAAAAAGAGUGAAACUACAAAGGGGUUAUUUGAAGUUUUUCUAAAAAAAAAAAGUUACCACACAUACAUUUAUUAUCCAGAAAUUGGCAAUAUACAUUAUAAAACACAUACAAAGAUUAUCCAACAACACACAGCGGAAGAGAUUAUACUAACAACACUUUGGCCUACAUAAUUUAGAAACAUAGUGGUUACUUAGACACAUCCAUUCUAACGCCCGAAAAGUUCUUGAAAAGUUCAAAAAUACAUUAAUAUUCAAAUUCUUUAAAAUAUUAAAAAGGAAUUGCCUCGGACCACUGCAUUUCCAAACUAGUUAGACCUGCAACGAAAAUUAUGUGAUUGGAUUAGAUGGGGAUCGCACGGGAGACUGAGGGGUAGACCACUCUCGCGGGAUGGCCCAUGAUGCGGCGGCCCUUCAUGUGGCGAAAGAUGUACACCACCGCGCCGACGGGCCACUCCACCACAGCCGCAGCUGCGGCCGCGACCAACCCCAAAGUCGGCCCCACCACCUUGCACCGGCACGGGUUGCUCCUCGUCCCGCACUGCACGCACCCGAAGUUUCGCAUCAUUUUACUCGACUGGUUCGAUCGAAUUCAGCUACUAUGCUUCUCUUCCUAUCGACGUUUAUGGAGAGCAAUUUUGGAGAGUGGGAUGAGAUGAACAGCGAAUUUGCUGACCCUUAUAUAGACUCGAGGGCGAGACACGUGGCGUGCUGUGGUGGGUUACGUGGAUCGCUACGUGUUGAGCUACGAGAGAGGUGAGGCGAGUGUUGGCUCGCACGGGGAAUAGCGAUUCCACACGCGUAGCACCCGAUUCUGGGGACCAUCAAGAAGUGUGCAACGGACAAAUCGCUAACGUUAAUAAAUAAAUAGAAGGGAAAAACGUAUGAGAGUCACCAAACUUUAAAAUUUUAUAAUUACGUAUUUUAACCUUUCUCAAAUAAUUUAAUAAAUUUUUAUUCUCUUUUUCUUAUUAAUUAAGCAAAAAUUUUGCACCCGCGGCCUACUUCGCCGAUUUAAUGUAUGAAAAUUAAGUAUCGAAUCUAAAAAGUGGGAUGAAACGAUCUCUGAUUUUUUUUUUUAAUUAUUUUUCCCUUGCGCUAUGAUAAGGAAAAAUAGAAUUUUAAGUUUACUUUAAAGAGAGGCCACCGCAUAGAAUUAUGAAGUAAAGUUUAGAAGAUAUAAUCGUUAAAAUUUAGAAUUUAGAAGUCGAUUUAUAAAAGUGCUACGUUUUAAGGAGGAUAAGAGUUCUGAUAGAGCUUGAACUGGAUGAGAAUAGCCCAGACACUUGUUGGGCCCAAAGCAGGCCAGAUGUUUAAACAUAUGGACAAAUUAGGCCGGAGCCCAAUACAUACAGUAGUGGCCCAUUAACUUGCAUUAUGGAGGUGUACUCCAUUGGAUCAACCACACAUAUGUAAGGUGGCAACAUCACAAUAUGAGUAAGUUCGGAUGCAUGAAUAUGUUGUUCAGUAAUAAACGCUGUGCUUAUAUAAGGGGUAUGUAGCAUAUGGUUGAGGCGAGAAAUAAUAGAUACCUAUACCUGUAUAUUAUUAUUCAUUAAAUUAGUUUCUUCAAAUAUGAUAAACUGUAUAGAAGCUGAUAGAACUGAAAAAAAAAGCUUGAUCUCCAAUUCACAAAAGAAAACUACUGGAAAGUCGACAUUUCACCAAAUAACUUAUUCCAAUAUCUAGAUAGAAAUUACCUGAAGAGGAACUCCUCCUUCAAUCUUAUUGGGCUUCCUCUAAAUCUGUCGUUCAAUAAGUUGUUAAGAUUAACUCGGAAGGAAAACUUUUAUAUUGAAACAGAACUUUAAGAUUAGGAAGUGUGUAUGAUUAUCAUACGGCUCAAUGAAAUUGUGCUCGACUGACUAAUUAGAUGGAGACUAGCAAUCAUCAAUACAGUUUCUUCAGUUAGCACAUAUUCACACAUUGUUUCUUCCACUAAUGAAAAAUUAGUUCUCAUUAAGAAAUUUUAAAUUCUAUAGCUCCUAUUCAUGGAUGAGAUUCAAUUUUUAAUGACUAUAGCUUAGAGGAUUAAUUAGCGAAACGUCGCAUAUAUGAUUUUUUUUUUUUUUUUCUGGACCUCACUGAACGAAUGGUUUUCCUAAGAUAUGCCCACAUUAAUUUUGAGGAUAAAUGUUAAAAAAACAAAAAUUAGUUUAGGUUUAUGUUUAUUAAUAUAUACAUUGCUCAACUUGCCUCUAUUUUAAGUUCUAUGUAGCCAUGCUAACCAAAAUGGUUAAGGUGAGGCCGAAGCACUCCGCUUCUCGUUAUUUUUGCGGGCCUCUGUUUAGGCUGUGUCUCGACGCAUUUGUCGCGGGUGUCUUAUAUCUUUCUCAUGUUUAAAAUCUGUACCUGGAAUGUUAGAGGCCUUAAUGACUCGGCGAAAAGGGGCCUCGUUAAGUCUGUUGUUUCCAAGCUUAGAGAGUCUCUCUUAUGUUUGCAGGAAACGAAAGUGCAGUCUGUUUCCCGAUCGUUUCUUAGAUCGUUCGCUGGAUCUAACUUCGAUAAAUGUCACUUUAUUAAAUCCGAAGGGGCGUCGGGUGGGAUCAUCACCAGUUGGAACUUCCAGUUCUUCGCCUGUCUUGAGGUGAUAGUACGCAAUUUUUCCCUCACCUUAAGGAUGGUGCACUUAAGUAGCGGCAACAUCUUUUUCAUCACGAACGUGUAUGGGCCGCCGUCGUGGGAGGGCAAGGCGGAGUUUUGUAACGAGCUUGCAGGACUCAAGGGGCUGUGUACAGGCCCGUGGGUAAUGUGCGGAGAUUUCAAUCUAACCCGUAACCACCUCGAGAGAAGGGGAAAAGUUUGGUCCCAUAGAUUGAUGGCCCUUUUCGGUGAUCUGAUCAAUAAGCUGGAGAUGAUUGAUUUGCCACUGGCCAACCAAAGCUACACUUGGUCCAACAUGCAACCCAUCCCUACUUUGGCCAAGUUAGAUCGUUUCUUGAUUUCCACUGAAUGGGAUCUAUUGUUUCCGCUAUCCAAAGUGAAAGCCUUACCUCGGGUCACGUCAGACCAUUCACCGCUCCUACUGUCGACAAGGGAGAAAAGCUUCUUCCGCAUGUUUCGGUUUGAAGACGUGUGGCUAACACAGGAGGACUUCCGUAAUUUGGUGUCGGUAUGGUGGAACGAAACACCAGGUAGAAGCUCGAGUAUUCUGACGUUCUCGGCCAAAUUACGACAUUGCCGUAGGCGCAUCAAAGAGUGGAAAGAAAAAAAAUUUUACAACAUUGCUAAAACUAAGACGGAUCUUUCUGAAGAGCUACACAAACUCGAUAUUUUGGAGGAGACGCAAUCUCUGACAGCCCAGCAGCACGGGGUACGGAAGGAGCUCAAGACACAUCUGGCGACGGUUAUUCGGGAUGAGGAGAUUAUGUGGAAGAGUAGAGCUAAUCAACACUGGUUAAGGGAAGGGGACGGCAACACGAAAUUUUUCCACGCAGUGGCUAAUGGAAGGAGACGAGUGAACAGCAUAGAAGUGAUUGAGGAGGACGGGAGGACGAUUGAAAAUGGGGACGGCAUAAGGGACUACUUUCUCAAGAAGUUCACGGAGAUUUUUGCACCAGGCGGCUUGCAGAACUCAGCAGUAGGAGAUUGGGGUAAUGUCUUCAGUGAUAGGAAAAUCCUUAGACCUGACCAACUCACUUCCCCCUUUACGAUAGAAGAAAUCAAGGCAGCAACUUUUCAACUAGGUGCUGACAAAGCUCCAGGGCCGGACGGGUUUGGCAUGCGGUUUUACCAGAGUUUCUGGGAUGUAGUCAAAGAAGAUCUGUUAAAUAUUUUUCGUGACCUAUAUAAUAAUUCACUAAACACUGGACCUAUCGACUAUUCUUUUGUUUGCUUGAUUCCCAAGAAGGAGGGUGCCAAAUCCGUUAAUGACUUCAGACCUAUCUGUCUCAUCAAUGGUGUACAAAAGAUAAUGUCCAAGGUACUCGCUAACAGACUGGAAAAGGUGAUCCAUGACCUUAUAUCCCCCUCACAGACGGCAUUUCUUAAAGGACGGUCAAUCUUGGACUCCUAUGUCACAGUUAGUGAGAUUGUUAGUUGGGCCUCCAAGGUUGGUGUGGAAAGUGUCAGCAUUAAAGUUGACUUUGAGAAGGCAUACGAUAGAGUGAGUUGGGGUUUUCUUAGACAGGUACUGAGGUGGCUCGGGGCGAACCACAAGUGGUGCGGGUGGAUUGAUCAAUGUAUUUCCAAUGCCAAGGUCGCUAUUUUGGUUAACGGGACCCCUACCAAGUGGAUCAAAACUAAAAGGGGAUUACGCCAAGGCGACCCGUUAUCCCCUUUCCUCUUUCUUCUAGUGGCGGAAGGGCUUGCAAGAAUGACAGAGCAAGCGGUUAACAACAAUUUGAUUAGAGGGAUUGGACCCCGAGUUGAGGAUAAAGUAGCAAUCACUCAGUACGCGGAUGAGACAAUUUUCUUCUGUGAGGCUAAUGAAAGGCAGGUGGGCAAUCUUCUCUUCCUCUGGCAACUGUUCGAGUGGGCAUCUGGGCUGAAGAUAAAUAGAAACAAGUCCGAGCUCUUUUAUUUAGGUAGACAGGACCUCUUUGGGGAGCAGUUGGCGGGUGUCUUAGGAUGUAAAGUGGGGAAGUUCCCGCUACGCUAUCUGGGUCUUCCUCUUACGGACAAGAGGAUUGGAAAGGAAGAUUGGUGGCCUAUUAUAGCCAAAAUAGAGAGACGCAUAGAAGGGUGGCAAGCUAAAUUACUUUCACAAGGAGGCAGGUUGGUGCUCGUGAAUUCGGUACUCUCAAGUUUGCCACUGUAUUUCCUGUCAAUGUUCAGAGCCCCUAAAUGGGUUAUUCGACGUAUAGACGGCCUUCGGAGGGCUUUCUUCUGGAGAGGUAGCACCUCCGCUACAGAGGGACAAUGUUUGGUGACUUGGAAGGUGGUGUGCAGGAGCAGAAAAGAUGGAGGGCUCGAGGUCAAGGAUCUGGAGGCAAUGAAUACAGCUUUAUUGGCAAAGUGGUGGUGGAAGCUCUUCUCCGAUAGGUCUUUAUCAUGGAAACCACUUAUUUUAGGGCUAUACUACUCCAGAAGGAGACCGCUUAGGGAAGGCGCCUCAUUCAGACCCUAUUCUCAGUGGUGGAGCAGUGUUCUAGGGACUAAAGCAGUGUUUAAAUGUGGAGUUUCCUUUACGGUUAGAAAUGGGCACAAGACUUGCUUCUGGCUAGAUAUCUGGAGUGAUGGCCCAUCUUUGAGGUCCCAAUACCCGGUUAUUUUUGAAGGGGUGAGUGACAAAACAAUACGGGUGAAGGAUUGCUUAGGAGCCGAAGGGUGGAAAUGGCAUAAGAUCUUUUCAGGUCUUGUUACGCGAACACGGCUUGAGAGAGACCAGAUUGAACACCUAAAGGCUAUGGUACCAGGAAUUAGUUUAACAGAUGGAGAGGACGAGAUCAAUUGGAGGUGGGCACACUCGCAAAUUUUCUCGGUCAAAUCAACCCAUAAGUUCAUUCAGACCACCGGAGUGCUGGACAGACGAUUUACCCGUCUUUGGAAGAUUAAAGCUCCCUUGAAAGUUAAAAUUUUCGUGUGGCUUGUCUUGAGGCGGAGGGUUCCUACUAAAGAUAACCUACAAAAACGGGGUUGGACUGGUGGCGACGGCGGGUGUGUUUUUUGUUCGGAAGAUCAGGAGACCGUUGAUCACCUAUUUGUGGGGUGCCAAACUGCUAGACUUCUUCUUGGCAGUUUGAUCCCAAAUAAGACGUUCGUACAUUUAUGUGACUCUGUGUAUCGACUUUGGGAAGAAAGUAGCCUUAAAGCCGGUGCCAUAGGGGGUCGUGAGCUUGCUACAAUUGUGACUACAUGGUGGUCAAUCUGGUUGGAGAGGAAUAGAAGAAUUUUUGAAAAAAAGAAACUCCCUUUGAACCAGUUGGUUGCUGAUAUUCGUUCCUUCAGAGACCUUUGGGCUUCUCAUUGCUAGUUUUUUUUUUUUUUCUUUUUUUUUUUUUUUUUUUUUUGGGGCCUAGUUGUCUCAACCUUGUUGCUAAGUUCAAUCUCUUAAUGAAUGAAGCGGUAGCAUGUUACCUUCCUCUCAAAAAAAAAAUCUCUUCUUCGGUGUCCUUGAAUUCNUUGCUGAUAUUCGUUCCUUCAGAGACCUUUGGGCUUUUUUUUUUUUUUUUUUUUUUUUUUUUUUUUUUUUUUUUUUUGGUACCUGGGGCCUAGUUGCCUCAACCUUGUUGCUAAGUUCAAUCUCUUAAUGAAUGAAGCGGUAGCAUGUUACCUUCCUCUCAAAAAAAAAAUCUCUUCUUCGGUGUCCUUGAAUUCAAAUUUUUUAUUCAAAUCAUUUGAGACAAAAACCAAAUCAUUGCUUUUAAAAUCAGUUUGUUUUAUAUUUAAAUUGGUAGUCAAAUUUGUUGACAUUUGGUGUCUUGCUAAAGUGGUUGGUCCGAUCUGAUAACAAGGUGAUCUUAUUCUCUUUUGCUUCUUGGAGUAGCUUUCCCAUAUUCCUCAAUUUAUUAGUUAGCACCAUGUUUGGAUGUCAAAUCCUAGUAUUCUAAGAAAUGAGAUUUUAAGUUUUAAAAUCCAUUAUUUAGUAAAAUAAAUUGAUAGAAAUUUAAGCACUUCAGAAGAAUAUGGUGGAAUUUCUCAUUGUAUAGGUGACUCUUACCCAUUUCCUAUGAUUUGAGACAGGAUUUGGUGAGAAUUCAUUUGUUAUUAAUUAUAUAAUUUCUCAAUAACUCUAGAAUAUCAUUUGGUAAAAUUUUUAUAAUAUCUUUCUUAUUAUAUAGCCGAGGAUAGAAUGGAAAAAAAAAAUGUUAUUGAACUAAAUUCUCAUCUUUCACCAAAUAAUUAAUGAAGUAGAAUAUAUAGAAUUCAGUUUAACUCCUAUUUAAUCCAAAUAAAAUAUUUUAUUUCUAAACUGGUUUUUUUUUCUCAUAAAUUUGGCACCAAACACAGUGUGGAAGGAAAGUUAAAAAAAGCAAUGCCAUGAUAAGGAGAGUACUCAUUUUGAGAUCUCUUUUUCAAGGGUACUCGAAGUGUAAAAAUUUCAUAAUUGGUGCAUAUAUAAAAAGGUGCAACUUUUUAAUAUGAUGAUAACUACAUUAGAGCUAAUUAACGUACAUCUAUUUACACUUGCACGCAAGCGGAAUCGAACCUGCUACCUUUCAUGACACAGUGGAUUCCACCUUAAACAUCUUUUGUGUGAUUCUUAAUUAUGAUCAUCACAUCAUGGGGGUUGCUCUUUUGUCUCGCCUUAAUUGAGUGAUAUGUUAAUUAAGGCAAUUUUUUUAAAAUAAGAAUUUCGGGGUCUAUAAAUUACAGAACAUCCUGUUUAAUUAAAAGACAACAUAUACCCAUAAAUUAAGGGCAUUAUUUGUUUUAUAAUCUUUCAAUAUGUGCAGGUUUUAAUAUUGCAAGAUACAUAUGUAACAACACCAUCUUAAUUAUAUGCUCUUUUUUUCUUUUGUUUCUGGGAUUAGAUCAUAAUCAUGGGUUGAUUAUGGCAAGAAUCAAAAGGAGAAUAUAUUAAUCUUGCAUGAAUGAAUCCGAAAAAAAUCUUGCUCGAGACGUAUGCCUAGUACAAUGAUGCAUUUUUUAUUAUUAUUAUUAUUAUUUUGAAGAUUUAACUUGAUUUACAAAGAAUUUGGUAAAGAUUGAGUCCUCCGCUAAAGUGACGAGCACACCAAACUCCAACGUCAAAGCGGUAGGCCCUAAUUUAAUGUAUCCACACAACGGAGCACCUAAUAAGAAGUUUAAGUUGUAGUAGAAUUUCAGAUAAAUUAGAAUUCAAGUUCUUGUUUUUCUUUCUAUAAUUCACUUCAUUAUGUAAUAGGUCGAAGUCAAUCAGGCGCGACAUUUUAAAAAGUUUGAGUCUCCAUCAAAGUCAAAGUUAAGAUAAACUAAUAACGAAAUGAAAUAUCUACAAUUGAAAACCGCUUCAUUCCUCUUCUACUCUCAGUGACAAGAGAGUUAUCACAAGGUUGAUCAAUUCACAUGCACCACAAAUUGACGACUUCAUGAAGGGCCCCUUAAAGUCAAAUUCGCGUAACUUACAAAUACGGCAGCUCGUCGUUAAUUUUCUCGCACUUUCAGUUGGUCAUUAUUUCUUCUAGCGAAAAGUGGCAUAAAUAACUAUAGAGAUUUCAAAUCAAGUUAAAUGGUCGAUGAUUAAAUUUUGAUUUUUUAAUUUAUUAGUGCGCUCUUCAGAUGAACCGGAUCGUAGCACAUGUUGCGCAUCUAGCUAGAUAUGAACUCCACAGCAUAAUUCCCGUUGCCAACCUAACCCAUCGCUUGAUGAUGCGUCGACGGUUGGUGAUGGGCCCUACACAGUUAGGGCAACCACGUGCUCAUCACUUUCAUGGCCAACUAGGAGAUUGUGGGCCAAUGUAACACGCCACCAUCGCACAUUAUCUUAUUAAUCAAGGAACCUUCCAACCACGCAUACCAUUUUUAUUCCCCUACUUUACAUGCAAAAAAAUUUAAAAAAAUAGGACAUACUUCACUUUGCCCUUUGGAUUAAUUAACACAUCUCACGUUAACUCCUGUAUACUUAAAGAAAUUUACUUUAUUAAUCUAUAAUUUUUUUUUUUUUUUGGUAAUGCUAUGAAAAUUUUUUGUUGAGUGGGGUAUGGCAUUGGUAAUUUUAUAAAUAAGAGGAUGACUACUAGUCAAGAAUCUACACUUAGCGGCACGAUAGUUAUUUUUUAUUUUAUUAAAUGACUGAUCUUUAGAGUAAGUCUUGUGUGUUAUUAAGAGUAUGGAAGUCUCCGUGCUUCUAACUCGUUUUCGAUAAUAGAGCUUUCGAAUCGACAAUCGAUUUCAUUAGACUUGAUCUAGCGUAUUUGAAAUAUCGAGAAAAUAAAUUUUGCAAUUUUUCGAUAUUAUUUACUUAACGAUCGAAAGAAUUAAAAAUCAAUAAUUUUUAAUUACUAAUGUAUGCAAUUUGCAAGUUUAACGGUAUAUAAGUAUUCAAUCAGAUGACAUUUUGAUAGAAAAUUUUUUGUACUAUUUAUAGUAUGAUCAAUAUCUUUGAUUGAAAAUUUUAAUGUUAUAUCACCACUUUUUGUAAGAUUUCUAUUUUUAGUCAUUGAUUUUGGACCAUUUUAAUCGCUAGGUAAAUGAUAUUGAAAAACUGUAAAAUUUAUUUUCUUGAUACUUUUAAUAUGUUAGAUUAAAUCUAACAGAGCCAAUCGUCAAUUUGGAAACUCCAGACCAAAGACAGUUUAGAAACAUGAAGACCUCCAUACAUGCUUUUAAUAGCACACAAGAUCUACGUACUCUGAUGUUUUAUACAGUAAAAGAGAGACAAGAAUAAAAAGUAGCUGAAUGAAAACUUUCAAACUACAUGAUGGUAAGAUAAAAACGUGCUAGACCGCGUGAGCCUCGAUUAAAGUUUACCUCGAAAAAAAAAAACAUCAUUAAAACUAUUUUCAUCUGGAGAGCUAAAAAUGUAUGGAUAUAUAGUCCUUACAUAAUCCCUGCAUUGUGAUUUAGUUUUUUAUAUUUUUAUUUAAAAUUUUCAAUUUCCAAAUUAUUUACCAAAAUAAUACUUUAGUUUUUCCCUUUUAAUUGAAGGGUUCAAUUUCUAUAAAAUUUUGAUUUUUUCCCCACAAAACAUCUCACUUAUGUUAGUUUACUUAAUAAAAUAAAAUUAUUUUUUAACAAUAAAAAAUUAAAAUAUAAUAUAAGAUUUAAGAGUGUAAAAAUUAAAAUAUUUAAGUGAAAAAUACUGAAGUCCAAAUCGUGAUAUGUGAUAGUGUGGCCGUGUGGGCAGUAUAGAUACAAUUUCCUCCAAAAACCAAAAAUAUAAUUACCAAACAAAACCUAACGCACACUUAGUACCCUUUCCCCAAUAUUCUUUCCCUCUCAUCCAUCUACUCUACUGAAUCCAUUGAAGCAUUGAAUAAAAAGGAGAAGAGCAAGAAUAAAGCCAAAUGCCACACUAGAGAACCAUCUAUAGAGAGAGAGAGAGAGAGAGAAUAAGGUUGUGUGUCUCCAAAACAUGUUAUCGCUCCAACUAGCGCUUACAGUUAUCGUGGCAGCGACGUCACUGAUUACCUGCACGGCAUCGGAGCAGCACGAUGCAGUGCCGGGAACAGAGGUCAAGUGCACGUGCAAUCCGUGCGGGUGUAUGGUAGGCGCGCCACCGCCUCCGUCCCCUCCGCCGCCCUCGCUGCCGCCUCCGAGUAAUCCCUCGAGCUCGUAUUGUCCGCCACCACCGCCCGUGCCCCCCGCGCCGUACCUGUACAUAGUCGGCAACCCGGGGAGCUUGUACCCGGUGGAUCCCGGGUUCUACCCUUCGAAUGCUCGCCGCGAACUCGCCGUGCCGCCGCCGGUUUUCGUGGUGUUCGGAUUCUUAGCACUGUUGUUCUUCCGUGCGUGAUUAACAUUGGUGCAUGUUAAAGUGUAUCGGGUAAUUAAUAAACAUUGACAACUCUUUUGUUAAUUAUUGUGCACUUAGUUUUAAUGAAAUAAUGUAUGGCUCGAUUUUUAUCUCCCUUAAUAAGGGUUGGUUUCAGUAUAUAUUUUUUUUAUAAAGAGAAUUUACAACACAAGUCACAAGUCAUUAUUGUGCUUAAUUAAGCCAAAUGUUCCUUUUCAAUUACUACUACAAACUGUUAGGCUAAUCAUGAAGAAUAUCUUAGUCCUACAAUAGGGUAAAUCAAGAGCUGUAAUUAUCCUUCUAUUUCGAUUUUAAUAGGCUUUAAUUAAUUUUCUCUUGUUAGUUUCAAUUUCAUUGUGUUUUUUCUUUUGUGUUUAUUGCAAAUUAAUCUAAGAAUCAAGGAAUUGGAUUCGUGUCAAUUUUUAGAUGCUACAUAUAUAUUGAAGGAUGUUGAUAUGAUUGAGGCAUGUUUAAUUUAUUAGUGAAAAUUCUACAGGGAUCAGAGGACUAAUUAAGAUUAACCCACUUCUAAACGAAAAAUAUUGAAAAUUAAAUAAGAGAUUUUUAUUGGAGAUUAGAUAAUUAAAGCGAAAAACCAUAUUUGGCAUGCCAUGAUUAAUUUGAACUUUUUAUGAUGCUCAUUUCCAUGAUUCCAUCCAAUGCAACGCCUUCUAUAGAUGUUGUUAGGUGUCUAAAGGCAAUAAUUUUCUCAAAAGGCAAUAGCUUUUUCACUUUCCAUCAUUUUAUUUAUUUUAAUUUGUACGUAAACUUCUACUCUAAGUAAUUCUCUCAGAAAUCUAAUAUUUAACUAUAUAACUCGAAAAGCACGGUUCAAGCCUAAACAGUAAUUUUAAAUUUCUUUUCUAAAUUUCAUUGGCGACAAUAGCUUUUUAGUUGAUAUGAUUAUUUUCUUUAGAAGGGGAACUGAGUCAGAUAAAGCAAAAUUAACUUUGUGUAUUUACUAAAUUAUUUCAUAACUAACAUGAUCUCUAACUAUCUUAAUCAUGCUAACAAAUAUUCAUAUCACAUCAUGUGAUUGUUGACUAUAUCUUCAUUACUCUUAGCCUAAUUAAACUAUAAUUAGAAAGAGAAGAACAUGCAUUUGCUUUUGAACGAAGCUUUAGUUGGUGCCAACCAUUUUUUUAUAAUACCAGUACAAAAGAAUAACAUGUUGGAUACAACCACCUCUUAUACAUAGACAAUAUGGAAAACAUGGCCAAUAUUAAAUUUUGCAAAUAAAACCCAAAAACACACACUAAUGCAAUUCCAAGGUGGCCUUGGAAUUCCACACCCCAGAGGAAUUCUAUUGAAAACAUAUAGAUCACAGUGAACUCACUAAUACAAUGUUUACAAAUCAUAAUAAUUAAGCAUUGUUCUUUGUUCAAUAUUAAGCCCAAAUUAUCGACUGUCCUAAAGCAAGUGGCAAAAGGCUUGGUGGUCGGUAUCCGAGUUCCCAAAUUCGAAUCCUAGUCGAUUUACAUUUCCAGCUAAGUUUAUUUCUAAAUGAAAUAAACGAAACAGAUAACGUGCUACCUAUCUCUCAAAAUAUAUAUAUAUAUAUAUAUAUUAAGCCCAAAUUAUAGAGUUUCAUGGUGCAAAAAUUAACUGAGAAUGAUUAAGCAGCAUAAAGUAAUGUUAGACAUAGAUUGAUGAAUUUGAAAAACAGUUAAUAAAACCAAGGAAAGUAAGUUUUGUUGAAUGCCUUAGAAACUUAUGUGGAGCUUUCUUUGAGUUUAAUUGCUUUGCUAGCUCUUUUAUAUUUGCUAAUGCAAGUGAUUGUAAAACCAAUUUAUUUCAUUAAUUCAAGUCGUUUCUUGAACAAAAUAGGUACAAUGUUCAAAACUUAUUUAGGUGAAAAUCGGAAAUCACCAAAUAAACAUUAGUCUUCUUGAGAAAUUUUUUUUUAAUCAAAAUAAGUAUUAUCAAUAAAGUUUACAUUAGAGUAAGGUUGGAAUGCUUUUACAAAUAAAUAGAGUAUGUUUACUUUCACAUCAUCUUCAGCAAUGAGACAUCUGAGUCAACGAUUGGCAUAAUUAAAAAUGACCUCGACUUUUCGAAUUUCAUGAAAACCAAAAUUUUACAAUUUUGCAACAUUAUUUAGCAGAUAAUCAUAUAGUCUAGUAAAUUGGACCUAAUGUGGCCUAGCCCAAAAUGUGUUUAAUUAGCCAUGGGCCUGUUGUCGGCUUCGCAAGCUUGCCUCGGCCCAAGCCACUCUUGAUUUGAGCCAGAAAUUUUUAUUUUGGGUCCGUUUGGUUCAUAAUUUAUAAUACUCCAGUAAUUCCCUGUAUUUUUUAUUACAAUAUUUAAAUUAUUAUUAUUUAACUUAAGUUGGAUAAUUGUGAAAGAUGUCGGUAAAGUAGCGGAAUCAUUAUAAAUUCCCAACUAUUAAUAAUACUGGAUCAUCAUGGAUUAUGAGGUAUUCUUAUUCUCAUACAAGAUGAGAAUCAUAAAUAGUCCAUUAAUAAGAAUAUAUAAAUUUCUAACAACCUUCCAAUUCAAAUAGCUUGAUAAGCAAGUAACAAAUUUGUCAUUUUAAAUAUAAAAUCUACAACAUUUGUAAUAUAUGUAGUGCAAAUCUUAAACCAAAUGGCCCCUUUGAGCGAUGCUAUCCGUACACCCAUAAGUUGAUGUAAAUCUUGCAUCCUAUUGAUCCAAGUGUUUAGACAAUUCUUUUGAAUUUUUAGUAGUAAAAAAAAAUAAUAAAACUAGUGUAAAAUAAAAAAAGGGUAAAAUGUAUAAAGAUAUUUUGAACUUUAGCUCUUUUGCAAAUAGACAUCCGAACUUUCAAUUUGAUAAAUACAUUUCUUAAAUUUUAUCAAAUAGUUAAACACGUCCUUCUCCUUAACUAAAAUAAUCAAUUGCACAAUCAUUUUGACUAGAUGUCAUAUAUAUAAUUCUAUAAGAUUUCAAAAGUAAAAGAAAAAAAUCUAUUUUUUUCUCUUUUAAUUUUAAUAAUUAAAAAUGAUGAAUAAAUAAUAGGUUGAGCCAAACUUUAAUUUUUUCAUAUUUUCUUUUUACAUGACGAAGAAUAAUUAAACUUCCAUUUGUUUAACGCAAGAUGAAUUGGGUUUGAAAUUUACAUGCAACUCUUAGAUGUCGGAGUAAUAUAUUUUUAAUUUCUUUACUUUUUUUUACUUUUUUAUUUUUUUUUUAUUUUUUAUGGAGAUCGUAUGAAACACACAAACAUGCGUUGAUGCCUAAAGUAUGAUUGGAGGUAUCAAUAAAAAGGAGGCAAGUACAUGCUAAUUAUAGUGACAUUAUUAUUGAGUGCACAACCGUUGAAAAUUUGGUGUACCAUAACCAGUACAAUGCAUCGGGUGAUACAAAAACAAUGAUUGUGAUCCAAAAACAAUGGUUCUCCUUUUUGAACGUUAAUUUCAUAACUAUUUGGACUCGUUUGUUUAUAACUGUUUAUCGCACUUCAAAUGCCAUUCAAAAACUGUUUAACCCUAUCUCAAUGUCAAAAUAAAUUACUCAAAAAUAAUGUACACUCUAUAAAUAUUUUCUUUUAUAUAUAGUCACAAUUUAAAAGUUUGAUUCUAAGUCAUUUUGACAAGCAUAUUUUAUUAAUACAGAACAAGUCGAAACAACUUAAAAUCCAAAUAUAAUAACUAAUUUUUGAUAGUGCUCAUUCUUUAUCAAAUAUUUUAAAAUUUUUGUGAAGAGACGUUGUACUGAUGAAAAAGCUUUUACAUGCAAAUAGGCCAUAAUUUUGGUUUUCUUUUCAUGGGUAUUUUGGAGAGCAGGGUUUUCAAAUUUCAUUAGCAAUUUGACACAUCUUGUACGUUAUCAACAACUUGGCCUCAACACUGAUCAUCCAUAAUGCAAGUGGCAAAAGAGCUCGGUGGUUGAUACCUGAGAUCCAAAUUCGAAUCCUAGUUUUUUUUUCUUUUUAGAGAGAUUGGUAGCAUUCUACCCUUUGCGUUUAUUUUAUUUAGAAAUAAACUUAGCUAAAAAGUGAAUCAACUAAGAUUCGAACUUGAAACCUCGGGGACCAACCACCUAAUCAUUUGCCACUUGCACUAGAGACGGUCGGUAAGUUCGAAUCUUUGUUGAUUCACAUUUUCAGUUAAAUUUAUUUUUAAAUAAAAUAAACGAAACGGAUAGCAUGACAACUUUCUCUCUCUCUCUCUCUCUCAAAAAAAAAAAAAAAAAAAAAAAAAAAAAAAAAAAAAAAAAAACAACAACAACUUGGCCCCAACAUUACACGGCCUGCAACAAUCAGUGAUGAAUUGAUUUUUUUUUUUCUUUUUAACUCCAAACAGAUAAUUUAUUGCUCAAAAGGUCUAGUGAGCAAAGAUGCCGAUCUCAUCACACGAGCUAACAAAAUAGAGCUAAGAUCUAAGCCUCCAUUUGGUUCGAAAAUUAGGAAGAAAUAAGCCAAUUAGCAGCCAAAAUUAGGAAGAAAUAAGCCAAUUAGCAGCGUGAUUGGCCUCGCGAGAUCGAGCUUAGAAAGAAAAGAAAAUCGUGGACGGUUGCUCGCUGUCUCUGAGGAACAAAGUUUUUUUUUUUUUUCUUCACUAAAAUGUUCGUGAAAACGGAUGAGUAAGCUUUCACACAUGUCGAUAAUCAUCACUUUCUCCUUUCUUUUGUGUUUGGGGGGGGUAUAGAGAGUUCACAUAAUUUCCAAAGAACUAAAUUACAGAGCCUAACCUAAAAUUCCUCACCACUCUCUCCCCCCACCAAAAUCUCCUUUGCACACAAAGCACGCAAAAGAGUAGAAAAUAAGAGAAGAGAAGAGACCACACUAACGCACUACACAACCCUCACUUUAAUUUAAGACCCACCCGCACCUACCCGAAUCCGAUAAACCCUCUAAUUACAAUACUAAAUAACAAAUAUAUAUAUAUAUAUAUAUAUAUAUAUGCAGAAAAGGACAAAAUACAAAAUGUCGUGGUGGAGAGGAGGUCAGUGUUGCAGAGAGAAUGUCUCCCUCUCUCUCUCUCUCUUUAAUUUUGUUUUUUGUUUUUUGUUUUUUUUUUACGAGGGAACAAAAAAGCCCGAGGAAAGCGACAUGAGGAGAAGCGCGGCCUCCGCCACCUCCUUCGCCCCGCCUGCGCCGCCGCGGCCGCGAUCUUCUGCGUUUGCGCUCCGCAGCAUCAGCUUCUGCUUCUGCUUCUGCUGCUGCUGCUGCUGCUGCAUCAGAAGCAGAAGCACUUUCUCCUGCUUCUCCUUUUGCAGCCUCCGCAGCUCCUCCUCUCUCCACACCUGCGCCGAUGCCUCUCGUGUUUCGUGCGCACUAGUACUAGUAGUAGAAGCAGUGGCAGGGGAAUUAAUGGGAGUUGGAGAGAGAUUUGCUGCGUCGCCAUUAUCAUCUCCUUUUGAUCCUCCUCCUCCUCCUCCUCCUCCUUUUCUCUUUUUCCUGUAUCUGAUCCCACAUGCGUUGCACAGAGACUACCACAGCGCCGAAAAUAGAAAAUUUAAAAAAUAAUAAUGAUAAGUUAAUAGUAAUUAAUAAAGCACAAUGUACUAAUGAUUCGGCGUGAUUUUGAUUGCAAAAACAGGAAAUAAAAAAAAACCAAAUUAUUCUAAAACGAAAAAUAGUGCGAGUUGUCUAUACAGCAGCACAAUGCACUCAUGAUUUGAUUGGAAAAUUGAACAAAAAAUUUCUCAAAAGAUGCUCACAACAUAAUCUCCAAAAUUAGGAGAAACCCAUGAAGCCAAUUACAAGAUCAAAGGAUCUCUGCUGCGAAAUUUUUAGAAAAAGAGAUACGGGUUUUUUUUAGUAAUUAACAAAAAUGGGUUAAAAUAAGCAUUUAAAGCAAUACCCAUGAUCCAAAAUAUACCGACAAAGGGAAUUUACUAAUAACUUAGUAAAAAAAUAAAAACAAAAUCUUAGCAAUUCAUGAUAAAAAAAACCCAUGAUUAUGUCAGAAAAUAAACCCAAUUAUCUGGAUAUCACCAAUUCAUAACAUAAUCUCCAAAUUUAAGGAAAAAAAAAAAAAAAAAACUCAAAACCCCCCCCCAAAAAAAAGCGACCCCUAUGUAGAUUUUUCACUAAUCAGCUAAAUUCAUCGAAACGAAGCAUUUUAAAGCAACACCUAUGAUCCCAAAAACACCAACAAAACAAAUUAAAUAGAAAUUUAAGAAAGCGAAACAGGGGAAUGUAGUGAGAGAUUAGUGCGUAAUACAACCUUGGGGCCACAGGGGCCGCUCCUCCACAGGGGAGUGAUCGACGUACCACAAUCCACGCACACCCUCGAAGCUUCGAUCUUAGCCGUCCGUGUCUCCGCCACUUUCUCCUCUUCCUUGGGCUCCUCCUCCUCCUCCUCCUCCUUCCUCCGACGCGUAUACCUCCUCACCACGCUCGUGCGAGUGUACCCCGCCAUGAUCGUGCUCCGUGGGGCCUCGCAUUCGCGUUGGGAUACGCAAUUCGGGUACAGAGAUCGUCGGAUCGGGGGAGAUAUCAUGGCGUUUUUAGGGUUUUUGGGAGGAUAAAGAGAGAGAUAGAGAUAGAGAGAGAGCUCGGGAAGAAGGGGAGAGGAGGGUUUUGUGUGGUUUUUAAUUUAUUUUAUUUUACUUAUUUAUUUUUUUGAUAUGGCGUUUUGUGAUGUGCUCACACGUGCCCUCGCGAGGUGGUGUCGCGUCUCCUCUCGUGUGGUAACGAGUUCUCGUCACCACGAGUGAUUAUAAGAGCCCCAACCCUGCAUUCUUACCCAUUUUUGUUUCUGUAUUCAGCUGCUGCUGCAAUUUAAAAUUAAGUAGAAAAAUUUUUAUUAUUAGAUAAAAAUAUAAAAUUAGUUUUCGAGCCUAAAAAAUAAAUGCUUUAUUUCAAUUUAGCUCUGAAAAAAAACUAUUUUAGAGAAACGUGAUUGUUGUUUGAUUGGUAAGUAUAAAAAGGCCUAACUUUGCAUUCUAAAUUGAUUUCUAAUCCUAUAUUUAAUUGUUGUUAUAAUAUUCGAGCUUUUACUAUUAGAAAAAAAUAAAUUUAACCUUUAAAUCUGAAAAGUAGAUGUUCUAUUUUAAUUUAGCUUUUAUACAAAGGUUAUGUUAGGGAAACUAGAAUGUUGUUUAGUUUCGUCUAUCAUUUUUUAUUUUUAACAACAAACACUUUUUAUUAGAGUAUUUGACAAAAAUGUAUUUUGGUGCUUCUGUCAUAGUAGGAAUUAUAAGUGAGAAAUUAGGUUUAUAAAUACUAACUGUAAAUUAAUAUUACUAUUUUCGUUAUAGAAAAGAAUCUAGUAAAGUAGCUUUAGUAUAAUUUGUAUCUAAAUACUAUUAAAUUCUAUAGUAAAAUAAAGUAAGAAAAAAAAUUUCGCCCAUAAUAGUUUUUUUUUCUUAGAUUUUAAUUUAUCAAAUAGUGAGUAAUGUAGUAAUCAAUCGAAAGGUAGCAUAGGUGGUGAGUUUACCGGAGGAGUAACAACUCCAACUUUUUAUUUUGGUGAGGGGGGAUUCCACGUUCCAAUGUAAGUGGCGGCACGAAUGAUAUUUUAAACAAAUAUUAUCGUUUAAUUGUGAAAUGAAAUAUAUUAAAACGAAAUUACACUCAUGCCGAUAUUAAUGAAGGGUUAAUUAAUCCUUUUCAUGGUUAAUUAAUUGGAUCUGCUUUGAUUAAAAUGGCUCCGUUUAUAUUAAUUCCUUAUAUUAGAUAAAGAUGAGAUAUAAUUUUAUUGCAUGGUUGGGAACCCCUGAUUUAUUAGAGAAAAGACAACAGGGAAUGUCGAGCCGUACAAAAAAUCAGCAGGUUUUCAGAGUGCGGCAACGAACCGCUUUUUGGUGGGUGAUUCCCUACAAGAGCAGGUCGUAGCUAUUUGCUACGACGUGACACGUGGCUUUCAUGUAAAAUUUGGGAGGGCGUUUUGAUUCCACAUUAAAAAUGAAAAACUAAUUUUCCAAGUUUUUAGUUCCAAAAAAAAAGAAAAUCAUGAAAAGAAAAAUUGCGUAUGUCAAUUCGCAAGGCUCGCCAGUAAAAAAAAAAAAAAAAAAAAAAUCUCUAUGUUAAAUGCUAUAUUUAAUUUAUUCUGAACAAAUCAAUACUUUAAAAAUAAUUAAAACUCUCACUGCUAAUUGUGCCAAAAUGAUAGUGAAAGGAAAGUGUAGGCUAAUUUUGCGAGUGAUGUGGAACCCAAAGCAUUCUCUUUAAUUAAUUACUUAUCGAAUGCCAACCCAAAGCAUUUCUCUUUAAUUAAUCAUUUAUCAAAUGCCAACACAUGUAUGAAUCAAGUAAAGAACGCACCCAGAUAGCCAAAUUGUGCAAACAAUAAGAAUGAACUUCCUUGUCGUUUUAUCCAAACAAAAAACAAAAAAAGAAGAAAGAAAGAAGCAUGAUUCGACUUGUAUGCUUCACUAAGGUAAAAAGAAAGGUAUAACCAAAUGUACAUUAAUAUAAAAUAACUGCACAAAGUGGUAGUGUUUUAUGAUAUAAUACACGGAACCGUCCAAUCCAGAAUGCAUAAACACAAGUACAAUAACAGAUUAUUAACAAUUAAACCAGUCACCUGGUACCAUCAUGGCCUGGACUGGCACACUGUAACUUUUAUUGUAUCUAUCCAAAAUUUUUCUCCAUAGCUCAUAAAACAAGAAGAGAAAAAACAAGAGGAAGAAACAGUUCACACCCACAGGUAAUUUGAGUGAAUCACUUGAAUGGAACCCCAGAGGGGCAUUUACUCAGGGGCGGUUCACUUGGUGUACACACCAAAGCCCUCUGCUGCAAAUGCCUCAAACUCUGCUCCAUGCUAACCUGCACCAUCUCCGCUAGCAUCUUCUUCGCCUUCCCUGCCCGAUCGUCUCGAUCAAUAUGAGCCACAAUGUUGCUCACAAUGUUCUCGAUAGUAUCGGCCUGAAACUCGGACCUUGGGUACGGCGAAUCCCUUAGUAGCUGCAAUAGUUUGCGAGCUUUGUAUUGCGCGUUGGGAGUGCCCUUAACAGUUAGCUCUAAUAGGCCGGGGAUUACACCCUCUUUAAGAAUAAUCUCUCGAUACUUACUCCGAUUGCUUUCGCACAUUGUUAGAAGGGCUCCCACUAUGUGCUCUUUACUCUGGAGAGAGCCCUCCUCGAGUAAUUCGACUACUGUGAGCACUCCGCCUUCUUCAUUUAUCAAAGCAUUCCGCCCUUCCUCGAAAUUGAGCAGUGGUUCUAUGAGGGCACUGCAUUUUUCGGCAGUUUUUGAGGAUUUUUUUAUUGUUCUGAGUAAGUUAAUGAGAGGAGGGAUAGCUUUGGCUGAUAAAAUGGCCUUGAGGUUAUCUGGGAGUGUGGAGAGAUUGUAGAGGGCUGUGACAGCGUCAGCCUUGGCUUGAGCAUUUCCCUCUUUUAGCACUUCUACAAGGAGAGGGAUGGCACCUGUUGUGGUGAUGGCCAGUUUAUUGGCGGAAGAGGCGGUGAGGGUGAGGACAGCAGCAGUGGCGUAUUCCUGGAGAUCAGGGUUUGGAGAUUGCAGGAGAUGGAUUAUUGGUUCGAGGGCCCCAGCUUCGACAAUGUUGAUCUUGUUCCUGAAACAUAGAUAUCAUGGAGGAAUUAGCAGCCUUUUCUUUUACAUUUUAGUCCAUACCAUAAUCAGCAGUCGAUCCUAUAUAUUACUAGUCAAAUUCAUUCAACGUCAACCAUAAAAGAAACAAAAAAGAAAAUUUGCAACCGCCCCCAAAUAUUUUGUGACGCUUGAAGUGAUGGCAGAAGUAAACAGAAUAGUCUAAUAUUUCUUUCAAGCUAAAGAUUAGCUACUUAGUCUAAAAUAAUGCCCGUAUUUGUGAAAACAAUUUGAUUUAUGACCUCUUACAUAGAAUGCUGUAUUGUUCCUCCCUACUUGCCCAUAAACUAAUCACACGUAAAACAUGCUUAAUUGCACAUAAGCACGCCCUUACCAAACAUAUAUUCGCUUGGUACAAGUCUAGAUAAAAGAACAUUUCUUCCUCUGAAUACUGACAACUUCAUCGACCAAGACAAAUAUAAAUUCUAGCAGAAACAGCAUACAAAUUAGUGCUUGUAGAAAGACAUGUAUUGAGAAGAGUUUGUCACUGCCCCACAAACAAGUCCCCAAGAAUGGAAAAGAAAUAGAGAAAAAAAUGAAGCGGUGCCAAAGGAGUAAAAGCAACAGCCAAAAGUUUUAUAUCCUCCUAGACGAGGCUUAAGGACAGGGUUAUGCCUCUCCCCAUCAAGGGGAGAACAUAACUGUACAAUAAGUUUUUCUUACGAUCUGCUGUAGUCUAAAUUACUCACUUGCAUCUACUUAAUUUCUAAAAAGCAUGACAUUAAAGGGAAUUAGUGGGUUCUCAUUUCUAGCAAGCGUUCCUAGCAAAAUUUACGAUGAUAGAACACCAGGAUCAAGAUAAUUGAGCGUGGAAUACAAAUAUGGAUACGCCCGAUAUUUAUUCCAAAAAGGAGAUAUAGGUAAAAACUAAAUUAAAAAGAUGCGACCGGUUGAUUGCAUUUCAACCUCUUCAGUCCAGGCUUUGUCUACCAGUCCAGUCACCACCCAAUCAACCUGUCCAAUAGUGCUAGAAUACUUUUGGUUGAAGGUUGGGCUUAUCAUUUAUUUCAUGUUAUUUAUCACACAACACCUAGAUACAGCCCAAGAACCUUAAGAAUUAAGCUUUCUCUAAGAUACCCUCCUUUUCCAAAAGAUCAUUAUUCCCCAGUCAAGUUUCACAUACAUAGCUCUGUCCCAGGGAAGAGAGAAUAGCUUUUACUUUGCAGCAAAAGCACACCCUUAUCUUUACAGCACCGUAGGCAUUCGAAAUUCUUCGAAUCAAGUCCUUGUUUAACAAUUGGCACAGAAAAAAAGCACUUAUCAAAUAAAAUAUGAGUAAAAAGUUGGUUGGGUGGCACGGCGUUAAUUUGACUUGAAAAGCAGGCCACCCAUGUCAUUAAUCCAAUAUAUAUCCUGGUUUCGCAUGUCAAAAGAUUGUAUAAAGUGUUACCAUAAACCGAACUACCCCUUAAGGAUUUUAUAUGACUACUCCAUCUUUAAAUGGAUAAGGAUGAUGUGGAAUACAAAUGGCCUGUUUGGCCGGCCAAAAUUCGGUAUGAGUAAAGUUGUUCGAAGAAGUCCAAUACCUUCAAAUUGCCACAGAAGGGAAAGCAUAGAAUUGGGGCCUCUGCUAUAGUAAAAAUCCCUGGGUCUUUUAUUUGUCAAACAUGUGGCAUUUAAUUGCUACUUCUCAUAGAAUAUGUUCAAUAAAUAGAUUACAGAGGAGUACAAUAAACGAAUAUUACAAAAAGAAAAAAAAAAACCCAAAAUAAACAGUUCUCUUCUCGCUUAAGCUUCUACAAAGUUAAAAUUAUUAACAGUUAUUAAAAAACUCCUAUAGAACACGAAUAAUUAACACUUCCAGAUCCUAUAAUAAUUGCGGCGAUCAAUAGAAACUCGCUCUUUUACUCCUAAACUGGCGAUAAUAUAAUCCCAACGCACCGAUAGGCAGCUAUAAUUAAUUUCUCGACUUAUUCCCACAAUCCGAUCAUCAAAUUUUUCCUUAACUACUUGUUCCAUAACGAAGCUACGUAUAAGAAAGGAAAAUAAAACGAGAGAAAAGGAUCAAAUAAACAAAAACAAAAAAAAAAAAAUCAGCCAGAAAUUUACAAAACAGCAUCAUAACCAUAAUUAUGAUAAGAAUAGUCCCAAAAAUCUCAUUAAUACGAAUCAAAUGGGAACAAUUUGGCUCGAACCUUUCGUCCUUGACGCCGAGAUUGAGGAGCGCGAGGAUCGCGGCCUCGGCGCUCUCCUCGCUCCCCGACCGGAGCAUCGCCACGAGCGGCGGCACGGCGCCGGAGAGCCACCGCCGGUGCCGCGACGACGUCUUCGUGAGCCGUCGGAUCUCCCUCGCCGCCUCGAUCCUCCCCUCCCGGUCGUCCGAUCGGAUCCGCUCCAUGAUCUCCCCCAACGACGCCGACGACGCCGCCCCACCGGAACCCUCGCCGGAACCCUCGCCGGAGGAUCUGCUCCACGUUGACUCCAUCUCUCUCUCUCUCUCUCUCUAUCUCUCUCUCUCGAACACUCGCUUUCUCCCCCUCUCUUCGAAUUGAGUGAACGGAGCGAACCAGGAGAGGGAAGAAGGUAACGGGUGGGGGGCCGAUUUUAUAUAGCGUAACGGCCGAGGUAACGUGGUGUAAACGGCAUUAGUGCUCCGUUAGGCAGCGUGACGGGGCGAGGCUCGUCCUGUAGCUAAACGGGCCAACGGCUCGUGUCGGCUAUGGUAGGCGAGAUUUUGUACGGGUGGGUCCCGCGGGAUGGUGUGAUGCACGCCCUAUGAUUUGUAUCGGACGGUUGGUACCCUAGGCAGGUGGGCCACCAUCAUUAGCGGUCCAAUUAAGACGCGGAAAAAUGUACAAGGAGCCCGCCACUAAAGUAAAUUUUGAACUAGGUAUCUCCACAAUUUUUCUUUUUUGUUUUUUUUCUUCUGAGGAUAAAGUGCGUGGGAACUUAACAAAUUUUAUUUUGAUUUUUUUUUAUUUAAUUUAAAUUAUUUUUAUCUAAAAAUUAACAUUUUAUUAUAUUCAAUAUAAUUUGACUAAAUUUAAUUACGAAAAAUACUAUCUAAACACUUUAUAAGCAAGAUAUAAAUUGACGAGACGAACAAUAAUUUUGCAAUACUCCAAUACAGAACUAAAUUUUGAUUCAUAUAAUGACAUGUUAGAUAAUCAAAUGAUUAGUUGUGCGUUGAAUUUAAAGUAAAAUGAUCAGAUAACCAAUUGAUGGAUCAGCCAAGUUGCUAAUUAUCUUAAUUGAUGUUUAGAUUAACCUAACAAAAGUUGGGUUUUACGGGGGACUAUUAGGAUUGGAUCAACGUUUAGAUACUAAUUAGUGAUGUUUCAGUAUAAAUGACACCAUGGGUUACUGAACUUUGAUAUCUUUUCUAAUUGGAUCAGUAAACCUCAAUUAUUAUUUUUUCUUAUAUAGUAAUGAUGAAGCAUCUAAUAUUCCAAAUAUCAAGAAAUGCCGUGACAAUGAUUAAUAAUUAUCCUAAUGUUAAACUAUCUCAAAAUUACUACUGUUUAAUUAUUAUAAAUCAUCUUAAAAAACUUAAGGAAAACUUCAAAUACCCCUUUAUAUUUUCACUCUUUCUCAUUUUAGUAUCAUAUGGUUUAAAGUGUAUAAGUUAGUACUAAGUAGUUCGCACUUUCUCACUUUAGUACCUUGUGGUUUAAAGUGUAUUAAGUUAGUACCCUGUGAUUUCACACUUUCUCACUUUAAUACCCUGCAGUUUCGCACUUUCUCACCUUAGUACUCUGUGGUUUAAUAUUUCAUUAAAAAAAAAAUAAAACCACAAGGUACAAAUUUGAUAUAAAAAUAAAACUACAUGGUACUAAAGUGAGAAAGUGCGAAAACACAUGGUACUAACUUGAACACUUUAAACUAUAAGAUACUAAAAUGAAAAAGUGUGAAACCACAGGAGAAUUUUUUGAAGUUUUUUCAAAAACUUAUUUAAUAAAUAACUAUGCACUUAAAUAUCUCGAAGUCAAAAAAAUAAUAAUUGCGUCAUUUUGAGAAGAUGACGUUUAAAAAUUUAUAAAAUUAACCAACCUGACUUAUAUGAAAAAAAAUAAAAAUUUAGUGACUUAAUUGAAAUAAAUUUAUGUUUAGUGACCUAAAUAGAAUUUCACCAAAAGUGCAGUCGCCAACUAGGAGUGAAAACGGAUCGGUUAUUCGAUAUAUCUGUAUCUGUAUUCAAUAAUAUUCGCAUCCCGACAGAAAAUAUCCGGAUUCGAUCGGAUAUGGAUACGGAUAUGAUUUUAAAGAGUUAAAUUUUUUCAGAUAUUCGAAAAAAGUUAGGUACUAAUUCAAAUAUUCGAACUUUUAGUACUAUUAUUUUUAUAUUAUUUAUAUUUUUUGAUCCGUUGGUUUGGGCCGCUCAAAUCCCUUUCCUCUAAAGUUGCUUGAUUUCUCUUCAACGAACGAAAUCUAAUCACCAAAUUCUCUCUUGUUUUCUCUCUCCAGCGUACGCUCUCUAGUCUUUUUAUUUUUUGCGAGACAAAGACAACUUAUUUGCCAUUUGUGAGAAGAUUGAGAAUUUCGAUUAAUUUUUGUGGGGAGAUAAGAAAAGUUUAAUUAUUUUUUGUACGGAGGAAUGAUUAAUAAGUUAUAUAUUAAAAUUAUAUAUUUUACAUGUGAAAAAAUAAAGUGAGGAAAUAAGGUAGAAAAAUAAAGUAAUUUUUUAUGUUUUUUGUUUAUUGUAUAUGUGUAUAUUAAUGUAUAUUAUUUUUCAAAUAAUAUUUUAAUACAUAUUUGAUUCAUAUUUGAAUUCAAAAAAUAUUUGACCUUAUCCGAAUUUGUUUUUAACGAAUAUAAUAAUAAAAAUUUAACAUCCUACAUAUAUCCGUAUCCAAAUUUUUAUCUGAAAAAAAAAAAUGCAGAUAUAGUUUCAUCAAAUAUCUGAUCAUAUUCGAUCCGUUUUCACCCCUAUCACCAACGGUGUAAUUUAUCCUAAUAUUUUUUAAAGAAAAAAAAUUCUAGCUGUAUAUCUUAAAACAAAAUUUUAUUUUAUGCUCUGAUUCUGCGGAGCAUAAAUUUUUCUUAACUUUUAAUAUUGUUAAAAAUAAAUAUUGUUAAAAACAAAGUUGGCGACACAAGUAGGAUGUGAAUAAUACUGUGUAAGAUUAGCUGCGUGCAAAUGGGAGAAAAUACCACUGAUUCUAUAACUAUUUUUUGAAAAAUGAUAAAAAAAUAAACUUUUGAGUUUGGCUUAAUUUGAUAUUAAGACUUAUAUAACGCUAUUAGAUAAAAUAAAGUUGAAAUAAAAAUAUAUAGAAAUAUGUUUCUGCGUUGUACAGUAAUGACUCGUUGACGUAAUAUUACCUACGAAAAUAAAUAGAAUAUUUUUUUUUGAGAAAAAUAAGUGGCGUGCAAAGGACUUAGUUGUUGGUAUCCGAGACCCAAAUUCGAAUUCUAGUUGAUUCACAUUUCCAGCUAAGUUUAUUUUUAAAUGAAAUAAACAAAACAGGUAGUGUGCUAUCUAUCUCUCUCUCAAAAAAUAAAGAGAUACUUUUUCAUCGUAUUUUUUCAUUCCACAUAACACAAUCUUCCCUUAAUCUCAAAUAAAAUAUUAGGAAAAAAAAAAAAAGUUGAGGGGAUCAAAAUCCAAUAGACGGUAGAUGAGGGGGCUCUCUGUACAAUUGUAACGCACUAAUAUCCAACGGCUGAGAGUCGCGGGGCACCGGGAGUAAAAUGUGUGGCGUGUUUGGGCCUUUGGGGUGCGGUGGCGGAAGCGUACAAAUGAUUGUUGCGAGCCAACUAAAACGGGGACGGAUCCUGCGACGCGAGGGGGUUGGGCGGGGGGGACCCGCGGGAGUAAAUAUCGGGUGUACGACGCAAAUAGACCGCUCGUGGGGCGCGGUCGGUCCGCCCGGCCGGGUGGGGUGGGGCCCGCGCGGGCCCGCCGCGCAGUCAAUUCGGGACGGUUGGUCUGUCCUGAUCGCGGCCUCGAUCGAGAUCCGACGGCUCCGGUUUCGGCAUCGUGCUCUACGGUGGACUCGCAAACAACGUUUUUUUUCUUUUUUAAUUAAAUUAAAGGCUGCCUUAAUUGGUUGUCUGUCCUAACCGACUGUCGGGACUGCAUUGCCGAACUAGCAGUGUAAGUGGAUCCGGGUUGGAUGAUGGAGGUUCUGUUCGGAUCCGUUUUUGAAUGAAGCAGUAAGUGAAAAUCAAAAAUACGUCGGCAAAGGACAUGAAGCAGGAGGCUGAGGAGCUCUUCGUAUAUUUUAUCCUCUCUGAUCCACGAACUGCCUGCUUCCGCUUUGAUCCGGCUUGUCGGGAGUUUGAGUUCAGUCUAAUCCAUCAAGAAACAAGGUAUGAGGGGGAGAUCCUCCCUGCACCCUGAAUUCGCACAAUUUGCAUCCCUGCGCUAAAAUUGACUUUCAAGUAAAUUAAAUUUCAAAUAAAAAUUAUUUUGAAACAUUCCCAAUUUAUGUAGUUUUUUUUUAUCAAAAAUUUCCACCCCAAUACGGAAAAGAAGCUUAUUUUUAUUAUUUUUUAUAUCUUUAUAUAUAUAUAUAUAUAUAUAUAUGAUAUAUAACUGACUUUAUCACUAGCCCGAGCAAGUUUAAUUUUUUCGCAAUUCCCAUUCUCUGUCCCAAUUAAUUAUCAUCUUAAAAGAAUUUAUUUAGUUAUAAUAAUGCAAUGUCAUCAGAAUCGUCCUAUCAAUUUUUGACAGCAGUACAAGAAGAGUGGCCCGAUUUUUCUAAAAGCAUUUGAGUACUCCUUGCCUAACAACCAUCCAUCAGCGUACCUAAACCGUUUCGAAAUUAGAGCAUGCAGAAGUUAAGGCAGUGUUUGGUUGGAAAAAUUCUAGAAUGCAACGGGUAUAUUAGUGACGUGGCGUAACAAAUCAAUCAAAUUAAUCUUUUUAAGAAUAUAUGUCCCAUUAUUAUUGUAAAAAAGUAUUUUUAUUGUACUUUUGUUUAAAAAGAAGGAAUGUGAUUGGCUUGUUAUUGAUGACGUGGUGCAAGUGUGACAGUGUAGAAUUCCUCGUUUGGUUGAGGGCUAAAUUAGAAAUAAAUUAUUUUAUUCCUUUAAUUUAUUUAAAUACCAGAAGAGAGAAUGAGUUUAUUUAAUUUUUUUCUUAACGGGUUAUUCUAUAAUAACUCGUUAAGAGGGAGAAUUGUUGUUCCAUCCUUUUGAUGGAAUAACAAUUUUUUCUCUUUAUACGUCUACUAAUUUAAUAAAAAAUAUUAUUAAUUAAUAUAUUAUAUAUUAUUUUAUUAAUUAAUUAGCCAAAUUAAUAAUUAACUAAUUUAAUAAUAAAAUGUUAACUAAAUUAAUAAUUAUUUAUUAGCGUGUUUAUGUAAUAACUAAUAUCUUUAUUAAUUAAUAAAUUAAUAUUUUGACCAAUAUAACUAAAUAAAUAAAUAAAUAAGUAAUUUACUAAUAUAUUAAUUUUUUAGCUUAAUUCGUUAACUUAUCAAAUUAUUUAUAGUUAGAUAAUUUAUUAAUUAACAAUACUCAUGGAUAAUUGAUUAAUGAUUAAUUAAUCUCCUANAUUAAUUAAUCUCAUAAUUAAUUUAUUAAUUAACAUUUAUGAUUAUCUAAUAAUAUUCAUGAUAAAUUAGUUAAUUAAUUUAUUAAAUAUCAUUUACUUAAUAUCUUGAUGAUAAUUAAUUAUAUAUAAUAUUAUUAUCUAACUACUAUAAUCACUUUUAUUCCUAUUAUUCCUAUCUAACUACUCAAAUAUUAUUUUUUCUUAUUCUCGAAAAUAACCAACUUUUUAUCUAAAUGUAAAAAAUUAAUAUUAUUCUUGUUUAUUUUCGAAGUUGUAUCUAUUUCAGAAAUAACCAAAAAAAUUUUAUUCUCGUACCAAACGGUACCUUAAGAAUGUGUUUGGUAACUAAUCUUGAUUCGGAGCAAAGCCGAGAACUAAGUGCGUGCAGUUUGGCAUGAAUUUCCGGAGUUCUGCAUAUUCCAAAUGCCGGGGUCCGAAGUUCGGCGCGGCUGCCGCUUCGGCCGCCGCCAAUCGCGCAAAUUUCUGGCCGAUGUACGCAUCAGGUGAAGCAGACUGCAGGAGCCACGGGCGUGCGAACAACAGACUAAUUAGGAUUCUUAAUUAGAUGGGAGAAACACUGAAUCCACAUUAAAAAAAAAAAGGAGAGUUAAUUAAGCUCCUGAGGAUAAGAUUGUCCGCACAUCUAAUUUUGAUAAAAUCAUUUUUUUUUUUUAAAAAAAAAAUUCCAAAAUGUGGUUGUGUAUACGUAUAUUAUACUCUAAAUAAGUUCUCUUUCUAUCCAGUGAAAUUUCAUGAAUAUAUAUGUAUACUAUGGAGUCCGGCUACGUUGCUUUUAAAAAUAUCAGACACUCGGUGCUUGUAAAUUUUUUACUACUAGAUCUAUUUUUUUGACCAAUAUGAUCCCUUAUAUUAUAAUAAACUACCAACCACCCACCUAAUUUUAGAAAAUCGCUUAUAUUCUAGAAAUAUACUGUUAUCUAACAGCUUAAAUAUUUUAAAGAUAAACAGUCGUCUCAUAUUAUCUGAUUAGCAUAACAUUAUUAUUGUAUUCUUUUUAAUAAUUUAGGUUUUUUUUAGGAUUGCGGGGAGAUUGCGUUACGUGCGGUAAGAAAGUACGAUGGCAAAAUAUUCUGUUUAUUCCGUAUAUAAUAUUACGUUUCGCAUAUCCCGAAUAGUCGGUUACGAUAUAUUUUUAUUUUCUGCAAUCCCAUUGAAGAACGCAGAAUUAUAUCUCAACAUAUUUUUAUCCUAAUUCUAUUUUAUUUAAUAAAAUUUGAUAGGCAUCAAUACCAAACUAAAUAUUACUCCUUCAAAAAGGCUAUUGGGAUAGAUGUUAGGGUUGGGUGUAAGGGCAUGUCGCACCCUGCGGUCAUGUGUGAGGAUGGAACGGCUACUCCCAGAAAUUUUCGAUUGCAAAGAAGAGGAAUAAUGCACCAAAAAACUAUAAGGUGAAGAGGAAAUAAUCAUGUGGUCUUUUGCAGUUCAAAUUCAACUUGGAAAAAUGGACCCUUUAUCCACUCUCCGGAUAGUUCGCUUGUUAGGUAUACCAGAACGAGCCUAACAAAAUUCUGUAACGUCAAAGGAAUAUACCUGUUUGGAUCCUUAAUUUGAAUCUCGGUAAUCUAAGGCUGUGACUAGAGUACACUACCUCCCAAAAAAAAAGGAAAAAAAAAGAGAAUGAUAUCUGAGAUAUUUCCAUUCAUUUAAAAUGAAUUCAUCAUUUCCUUCAAUGAACUUACUCAUCAUUGCAUUGAGGUAUCUAGUUCUUAUUUAAGCAUAAUUAUAAUUAUGGUUAAAUUACAAAAAAAAUUUCUGUAAAUAUUCAUGUUUUUACUUUCUUUUAAUAAUUUUUAAAUAUUUAUCUUUUACCUCCUUAAAAUUUUAAAAAUAUUUUUCAGGAUGUACGGCAUUAAUGCUAAGGAAAAAAUUGACCAAAUUGCCUUUAUUUCUUCUAUAAAAAAAAUAAUUUUUUUCAGUAUAAAUUAUAAGAAAAUUUAUCAUAAUCGAUUCAUCGCGAUAUACCUUACCGCACGUAAUGCAAUCUUUCCGUAAUUUCAAACGAAGCCUAAGUAAUUUAUAAUUGCUAAUAAUUUAUCGUAACGUCGAAACAUGGCUUAAAGUUUGCCGCAAAAAUGCCGAAUCUAUCAGCUUCUACUAGAUUCUUCCCAUGAUUUGGGUCUUUUUCAGUACUCUGGAUAGAUCUUGCAGCGCGAGCGUCAUUAUUUUUAACUUUGUCAUACUAAAUUUGUGUUAAAAUUAGAACACAACUGAUUAGUACCUUGAGGUCAUCUUUUCAUCAAUACACUAUGAUUAGCACAAUAACAAAAUACUAAUUAUAGUACCAGAUGGUCUUUUAUAUUAAUUUGAAGCUUAUUCAAUACAGCAAAUACAAUACAUUUAGUCAAGAACGGAUCAUGUUUAAAAAUUCAUUCUCUAAAACAGUUAUUAUUAAGGAGUUUAAUUUAAUCCAGGUCAGGCUCAUGUGAGUUCAAGUAUGUGAUAUAUCUAAUAAAAUUCAUCCAACAAUUGUCAAGAUUACAAACCGUCCCUAGAGCAAGUGGCAAAAGACUUGGUGGUUGGUACACGAUACCCAAGUUCGAAUCCUAGUUGAUUCACAUUUCCAGUUAAGUUUAUUUCUAAAUGAAAUAAAUAAAGCGAAAAAAAACAUUUGUCGAGCUUGACAAAAGCGCAUUAAACUAUAUGUCCUUCUCUUGUGCCUGAAAAUUUUGGAUGUGUGAGAAUUCACUUAGAAAUUUAAAUGUUUAAUUCUGGUUUGAACAUUUAACGAGAAAUGAAACACAAUUGAUAACAAAGUGGUUUGGGUUUUCUUAUAAGGAGUACUCAUUUAGGCAGGCUAAUUAUUAUGACGAGCGCACAAAUAAUAACAAAAAAAGGCGAUCGCAAAGUAGACAAAUCAUAAAACAGGUAAAAAAAAAAAGAAAAAGCGAUAUGAAAAAAGGGAGUACAAUAUUGUGAAAGUGUAAUAUGUUAUAUCACCUCUAGGACAGAAAGAAGAAGGAAGUUUGUUAACAUAUUUCUUUAAUAUCGAAUCCGAUUUGUGCCACCACAUAUAUCCCCUUUUAUCUUCACAAUUUUUUUGUCAAAAUUUAUUACACUGAGCAUAAAAUUAAACUCGAUAAUUAAAUUUGGAGAUACAUCUAAUACUAAUCAAGUAGCUACUAAGCUUCCUAGUCACUAUACUCGUGAAAAAGAAGGAAAAAUGUUUUGUCACCAUUCAUAUCUGCUUUUCUAUCUAGGGUUGGACUUGUAGGUUGAAAACUUACCAAACAUAUCCAAAUGUCAAUUUUUCCUUAUUAUUCAGUCUAAAAGCGACAUCAACAAACUGCCGUGUUGAGCAUAACUACGUCCAUUUAUUCAACCUUAUAUCUAACUAAACCAUAAAUUGUAAAUAUAUAUAUAUAUAUAUAUAUAUAUAUAUAUAUAUAUAUAAAAUAUGUGACUUUAACUAACGGCGACGACGGAGCCAACGAAGCCGAGUCGGUGGCAUUCGAAGCGAAGACGCAAGCGCUCGCGUCGCCGUUAAGUAACGGACGUCGAAAGCGCCCGAUUCCUUACUUACCUUCGCUUUGCGGUUAGCUCACCAACACAUGCAUAAAGGCUGAAGAGAGAAGGAAAGGAGUAAAUGUAUGGAUAGUCCCUGUAUUAUACUUCUAUCUCAAAUUUGCUUUUACACUUUUUAUUUAUAAAUAUCAAAUGUUACAUGUAUAUAUACUUACAGAUGUAAAUUUUAUAAUCUUUCAUUCUAGAGCUCACAAAAACUCAAAUUUAAUUAGUUUUAGUGAAAAAAUAAAAAUGAUAAUAAGACAGGUAAAAGUCUUUUAAACCUGUUUGGAUGAAACAAAUCUAAGUUAGAUAUUGUAGAAAAGAAGUAACAUUGUUAUUGUAUAUAAAACAUAAUUGUUUUUAACAAUCAAUUAAUUGUAUGGAUAUCAAAAUGUGUUUCAAGUUGUAGCUUAGUUGCUAUAAGAAUUUUUUUCAUUGAGUGAAAGUUAUGAUUCAAUUUAAAUUUCUUACAAGAUCUCGAAAUUCUGAUUUGCUAGGUUAGCUGUGAUAAAAUAACUAAAAAAUCAAAUAUAAUAUGUAUUUCGAGAUAUACGAUAAAAUGGCUAAAAAAACCUUUGAAUGAUGAACUAAGACUCCUAAAUUGUAUUCACAUGAGAAAAAUUAUAGCGCAUAAACUAUCAGUUAAUAUCUUGUUUAGAUUACCAAGCAGGAUCACAGAGUUUUAAUCGUUUAAAUAAAAGUUAAGGGGCUAGAUCUUUUACGUUGGAAAGUGUAGGUAGAAACUUGCGAGACCGGGAUCGUACAGGGACUAUACCGUAUAUUGUACUCCAGUGAAAAGGAAGGGGGUCGUUACGUCUCUGCGCCGUCACCAUCAUGGUCCACCCUUACGUGAUUCGGUCAUCUUCCGCGGAGGCCACGUGGCAACAUCCUUGUGGUCCAAGCGAACCUGCUUCGUUUUUGUUCGGGCCCCACACAUUCCACCGACCGUUGAUGACGUGGCAGUAUCCGAUGCUCGCGAGCCCUGGACGCGGAUAAGGAUCGAGGAUGGAGCCUCGUGGGCCCUGAAUUUAUAUUUACCUCGAUUUCGGAUAUUUACGAAGAAGUCCUUGUCGAAUUUUGCAAAAAAAAUAAAAUAAAAUCACAUAACACUAAAUUAAUACAUUUUAAAUUACAAAAUAUUAAAGUGAGAAAGUGAAAAACUAUAAGGGUGGUAUUUAAAGUUUUUCCUAUAAUACUAUUAGCGCAUUGCAUAUAUUGCACUUAUUCGACUACAAUAUAGUUAGUGCAGUUAUCUUGCAAAUAAAGAAGUAUAUCUUUAUAUAUAUAUAUACACCCAAUAAUAUUAAAUAGGUCUCAACACCAAACAGAAGCGAGAAGUAAACAUAACUCUCAAAUAGCUUAGCCCAAUAAAAGAGACAUAGGCCCAUGAUCCACGAAGAGGCCUCUUAAUGGAACCGACUACAAAGCCCAAAAUGGCUUGUAGUUGAGUUUUUUUUGGGUGCAAUGUACAGAAACACUCUGAACUUUAGUUCUUUUCUAAAACUCAAUAUUUAUUCUUUUGUAAGCACUAAAAUUUCAAAAGAUUUGGUAAAUCCUAUCCAAAAGGCUUGGUGAAUUCUAAGAUGAAGAGGUCUAAAUCUUGCACCCUUUUUUGGGAUGUAUAGUUUUUUUUUUUUUUUUUUUUUUUUUUUUUAAAUUUNAUGGCUUGUAGUUGAGUUUUUUUUGGGUGCAAUGUACAGAGACACUCUGAACUUCAGUUCUUUUCUAAAACUCAAUAUUUAUUCUUUUGUAAGCACUAAAAUUUCAAAAGAUUUGGUAAAUCCUAUCCAAAAGGCUUGGUGAAUUCUAAGAUGAAGAGGUCUAAAUCUUGCACCCUUUUUUGGGAUGUAUAGUUUUUUUUUUUUUUUUCUCUCUCUCUCCUAAAUUUGAUUUGAUGUUGUAUGCUUUUUGUCAUAUUUUUUUCCUCCUCUUCAUUUUCUUUAAUGCAAAUUUGAUAAUUUAUGCUACCCCUGUAGUUUACUUUUUUAUUUUUUCUUUUGAAGAGUAAUAUUUCAUAUGUUUUAGAAAUGUAUAACUGACUUUCUUUUAAUGAGCGAGUUUAAGUGCAUAUACUAGUGCAAUAUUGAUUUUACAAUUUUUUUGGGGUUAGUUUAAUGUAUUUUUUAGAGUUGAUGACCUUCUGCCCAUUAUCUUAAAUUUUUACAAAAUCAUCAUUUAUUGGUUGUCACGCAUACAAUAUUGAUUUUUCAACAAUAUUUUAGUAUAUCUUAGAUAUUGAUAUACUUAAGAUAUAGUAAUUCUUAGGCAAAAAUAUUAAUCGUUGAUCAAUAUAAAUAUUAGUUUAUAGAUAAAUAUAUUAAAAUAUUAAUAAUUAAUUAUUUCAUUAUUUAAGUAAUAGGUAAUGAUUUAAAUAUAUUAAUUAAAUUAAUUAAUAAUUUAAUAUUAUAUUUAGGUUUUAAUUAAUCUUGUUCCCACUUGGGAACUAACUUAUUUCAGAUAAAAAGGUGGAACAACAGUUCCGGUCUUAUACCAGCUUAAUUCAAAAACUCAAGAACUACUAUUCUCGAGUACGCAAAUUCUUGUUUGGAAAUAAAGAUGGAACAAGAACUUAUUCCCCUCUUAUUUUCCAGCCAAACACCGCCACAAGUUAUUUAUACUUUAAUAAAUUUAUAUAAUAUUAUCGUGCGCUAACAAAUCAAAAUUCAUCAUAUCACAGGUGCUAAUACAUUGAUAGCUCGUAAAAGCAGCAUUUGAGAGCAAUCGAAAAGUAUUCAUUUUCAAAGUAUUGUAUUUUUUCUCUUGUUUCAAAAAAAGCGGCGCUCUACCCUUAUCCGUUUGUUUGACAAUAUCCCACGAGAGUUUUGCUGACUUAGCCGCCAGAGAGCUGAUUAAACACUACUAGUGCAACGUGCAAAACGCAUGGCCAAGUCUAAUUUCAACCAACAGAUUUAAGCAUAAUCAUGGUACUACAAUAAUUUAAUUAUAUUUUAUUAUACUGUACAUUCCAUUAAAUUUAUUUGCUAUUAUUUAUACACUAUAAUAAUUUAGAAAUUUUAUUCUUUUACAUGCAACCCCGAUAUCGACCGCAUAGUAGCCGGAUUCAUAUAUAAUUAGAUAUAUAAUGCUGCAUGGAUUUAGAAACAUUUCGAUCAAGCGCAAAUGCUCUUGUAUGUUGUUAAGGAAAAUAUAACACUACAACAAAAACGGUCUAUAGCGACACUUUUAAAUGUCGGUAUAGGUUAAAAAAGUGCUGCUGGCUAAAUUUACCGGCACUUUUGAAAAGUGUUGCUAUAUAUGGGGUCGCUAGAUAUAUAGUGACAGUUAAACAGUGUUGCUAUAAUCUAAAAGAGUGCUGCUAAUUUACCAACAUUUAUUUAAGCAUCUAGCAACCGCCGGAACUCUACCUCGUUGGCUGCAGUGGCGAAGGAGGACAAGAGGAAAUGAUCUUCGUCUAGGAUUUCAGUCGAUUGAGUGAGGGGAGAAGAGAAAAUGAUAAUCGAUUUUUCUUUUCUUUUUAUUUUCUGUUUGUAAUUGGGCCGAAUAGACUAAGUGGAGUGGGUUCAGUAGAGUACCCUUUUAUUUUUAGUUGGAUUGGACUUUAUAUUUAGACAUUAGUAGGAUUUUUUUAAGCUUUGGUAUAAAUGUGACACUUAUACAAAAGUGUCCAAACAUGUAUCGUUAUAAUCUAAUUCUGUUGUAGUGUAUAGAAUUUACAGAAACGUCAAACUUACACGUAUUUUGCUUUUUUUUUUAUGCCAUCUAUUAGUAUGAUGUUCCUAUUGCAGCUAAAAACGGGCUGUGCACGCUACGCUCUCUGUCAUUUUCAGCUGAAAUUUCUUAAUAAAAGAAUUGUUAGCUUUUGAUCAUUAAAAAAAAAAAAGAAAAUCGAUGGUGUGGCAUUAUCAGUUUAUCACUACGAAUAAAAGUAAUACAAAAUAACAACUGAAAUAACUAACAUAAUAACUUUUAAUUAAUUAGCCUGGUAAUUAUAACCACGUGUGGGUCUGGAGACUCCGGAAGAUCCCGUGCGUACAAAUGAUUUACACCUGCACGCAACCACAUUAAUCUCGUACAUUUUAAAAAACCGUCUUGUUUGACUUUGACCACAACCCUAAAGUCCAAAAUGACCUCUCCCAAACACCUUCAUGCAUCCACACACACAUUUCUAAUUAACAUCUUGACCAAAUAAUUCCGUUUAGGCUUAAAUCCAAAAAUCGGUAUUAAAAUUUAUCAACAAUUUUAUUAAAUUUAACAAUUUUUAUUACUUUUCAGCAUAUAAAAAGAGUCAAUUAAUAAUUAAUAAGAUGAAAAAAGGAAAAUUUACUAUAUAAUACUUAUAGUACACCAUCAAUAACUAGCUAAUCACACAUCUUUUUUUUUAAAAAAAAAUGUAAAAUAAAAUUUUUCUAAAUGGAAUGAGUAAAUCUAUACAUAACAAUUUCAUUAAUUGAAAACAUCACAUCAGCAGUGGUCUUGGUAGAUUUUUAUCUUUUAAUUGUGCUACAUUCUUUGCAUACUACUAUUCCAUUAUAUGAGAAGACAAAACGUGGUAGGAAUUCACCAACACCCGGCCAUCCACCAACCACAUAAUGAGACAUACCUUCUAACUCAAAGAGAGACGUUUUUAGAGAGGGAGAGAUAAAUUAAGAGAUAGGAGAGAUAGAGAAGAAAGAAAGGAAAAAAAAAAAAGAAAGAAAAGGAAAUGGAAGCGUUUCCUUACAAAUUCACGCGGGGCAUACGAGCCUACUGGCGCAGGCGCAAGUACCAGAAGUUGGACAAUUCCGGCAGCAGGAAGGCUGCGAAGGUGGCCCGACUCGGCGCGGGAAGGCGGCCCGUGGGCGGGAGCCGGCGGUUCUGGAAGCUGCGGUCGAUCUUCCGGAUACGCGUCAAGAUCGCGUCGCCCGGCCGGCUGCUGGCGCGGCUCCGCGACGCUUACGUCGAUGCCAUGCUGGGGCUGGCGGGGAAGGGCGGCGGCCUGUCGGUCGGCAACGGGCCCGACGCUUUCUGGAGCAGGCGGGUCCCUCGUUCGAAGCCGGUUCGGGACGUGCCGGGCGAAUUCGAGCGGCGGCUCAUCAUCGAGGUUUAUAAGUCGCUCGUGGCCUCCGGCGAGAUCGCGGCGCACUAACUGAAUAGAGAAAGAAACUGGAGAGGCUCCGAGAAGCCGAGGGAAACGCUCCUCCCUCUUUGUAUUGUAUGUACGAUCCAUAAUCUCUUUUUUUUUUUUUCUUUUGUAUUUUGUCAAAAGUUUGCAGGACUACGCUCAAACGAUAAGUAUAGUCCGAAUGUGUGCAAGGAUGACAUAAUAAUAGAAAUAAUAAUAAGAGGCACGCAAAAAAAUUCUCAGUUUCUCGAUCUCUCCCUACAAUUAGAAUAUUGUUCUGCAAAUCUUUUUUUUUUUUUCAAUCUGUUUUUAUGCUUUUUUAGUGUUAAUUAUCUCUAUAAAUGAAAAUAUUUAGCUUUUUCCAUCACAACUGACUUGUUAGAGGCAUUCACUUCUACACGUAGAUGGUCUUGGAUUUUAUAUUGGUUUUGAGACGUUGUAUGCUACUGAAAAAAAACAUAACACUAAAUUUUUAUCAAUAUUUUGUCUCUACCUUAUGAUUAGAAGUUUUGAAUUGAAAAUUCGAGCUCUAAAUUUUGAUUUUUUUUUAUUUGUCCAAGUUAAUUUGUACUAGAUAGAGUAGAGAGAAGAAUCAGGGAAACAGGGCCCAGUUAGGUAGGUUAGCUCCAUCUAAUCCCAAAUUUCAUUUAUUAAGGGCCUGUUUGAAAAUAGUAGAAAAUUAUUUUUUGAAGAAAUUUUUUUUUGUGGAAAUGAAAAUUUUCAAUUUCUGUUGUUUGGUUUCACAAAAAAGAAAAAUAGAUUUUCAUAUAUAUGUAUUUGGUUAGUAAGAAAAAAAAAUAAAAAAAUAUUUUUUUAUUUUUAUUUCACUUAUUUUGUUAGUUAAAAUUUUUGGUAUGUAAAUAUCUUCUACAAAAAGAGAUUAUCAACCUUUUAAAAUUUAACGUAAUAUUUACAAACUCUUUACAAUAUAAAUAAUAAAUAAUUAAAUAAAAAUACAUUUUGACUAUAUUUUGGUGUAGAUAAAAUAGUUUGACGAAAGAUAUGGAGAUAAUGGAAAUGACGUGCUGGAAAUGAAUAUGGUUACAUAUAGAGAGAAUUUGGGGAGAACAAGAUAAUGGUAGGAAAUGGUGGAAAUGACUGGUUGGGUGGUAACAUAUACUAAUAUAUUAGAAAAGAGAUUUUUUUUUUUUACUUCUUAAAACAUUUGUGAGAAAAAAGUUUUUCGUUUUCCUACAAAAAACUUUUUUGAAAAACGAAAAGGAAAAGUUUUCCGUGAAAUAUGAAAAAUAAUUUUUCAAAAAAUCUAUGUAUUUUGCAAACCAAAUAUAAAGAAAUAUUUUUUCUAGUCUGAAAAAAAAAAUCCUGAGGUCUUUUUCAAGAAACCAAAUAGGCCAUAAAUCCUUUUAUACUGAGGAGAAAGAAAAAUGUUCAAUUCUGCAUUAAGCCCAAUACAUAUAUAUGUUAAAUUAAAAAAAAAAUCAACCAUUAUUCUCCAAAAAAACUAAGUUAGCACAUAUAGAACGGUGUUACAUUUGGAUUUGAGAUUUUUUUAAUAAGCUCGUAAUAUAGACUUAAAUUAAAUUAGAAACAAUUAAUUAUGCUAGAAAUUUGACGUAACUAAAACUCAAUACCUCCUGCUUUGAUAACAUAUUAAAUUAAAUAAAAUAAUCAUUAUUCUUCGAAAGUCUAAAACUAUAGAAAAUAAUAAUUUUAUAUUUUUAUAUUUAACAAUAUAUCAUUUCAAAUAGAACUUGUUUAAUUCGAAAGUUUAAACCACUAUGUAUGACUCAAUACUUCGCAGCAAUCAUUCACAGUGCAGUGGAUCAACAAUUUUUCUUCUUUUUUACCGACCGUCCCUAGAGCAAGUGGCAAAAAGCUUGUUGGUUGGUAUCCGAGACCCAAGUUCGAAUCCUAGCUGAUUCACAUUUUUCAGCUAAGUUUAUUUCUAAAUGAAAUAAACGAAGUAGGUAACAUGCUACCUAUCUCUCAAAAAAAAAAAAAUCUUCCUUUUUUUUUUCAUAUUAGAAAAACUUUACAUGUGAACAGCUCUACAAUCUUCUUCUUAAUAUGUAAACCACCCAAACUUCUUUGGAAGAUCCACUGCACUGUACUUUUCAUGCAGACAAUUAUUUCCACUCAGGUAUGUUUGGUUCAAUAUAAAAUUAUAAAAAAUAAUUUAUACUAAAAAAAAUUACGAUUUGUAGUGUUUGAUUUGUAGAAAAAAAAAAUAAUUUUUCAUCAAUAUUUGUUUGGAUCUGUAAAAAAAAAUAAAUAAAAAAUUUUACACAGCUUGAAUUUUUUUUUCAUCAAAAAAUAGCUAAAUAUGAAGACUUCAAAUUUUCUCUAAAUUCACAAAAUAUUUUUAGGAAAAAAAUAUUCUUACAUUAAACUAAAUCAAUAAAAAAAAAUUUUUUAUAUCAAAAAUAAUUUUUCAAUCCGUUUUGCGCAGCCUUCUAUCUCCACCUUGGUGCCAAAUUUUCUUCCUAGUAAAUGCAGCUAACAGCCUAACAAUAACUAAAAAGAAUUUCUUUGCCCCCCAAGUAACAUCAAUUUGACACAUGCUCAACCUAGUGCAAGUACACAUUUAGUCAAAAAAAAAGAAAAAAGUAAGGUCAAAGAAAGAGAGAGAGAGAGAGAGACAAGUCACGAUAUGAAGGUAAUUACUUCCUCAAAGGUGCAAAAGAUACGUAUUCUAACAAGGAAAAUUGAAUGAUUCUUGUACUUUUACUAAAACUUUUGCCUAUUUUUCGUAAAUCGGUGCUAAACUAUAAAAUUCCCCUUGUAUUUUAAUUCAUGUCUUAAUAAUAUCUUUGCCAUACAAAAAUUGCAAAUCUUUUGCCAUACAAUUUAUUACUAUUUCAAUUAUGUCAAAAGUGCUGCAGCUACUGUAUUUUUGCAACUUUGAAUGGUUUAAAAUGGCAUAAAUGAUUGAUUGAUCAAAAGAAAAACUGAAAUUUCUAAGCAACAAGCUAGCUUAGCAUUAGUGAAGGAUUCAUUAAUAAACUAUUCUGUAAAAUUUUUAAUCUAAUCGUGCAUUCGCAGCUACACUUUCUAUAUUUUUUUUUUUCUCUUCUUUUUUCACUCCCGACUUACGGCUACAAAUGUAAUGUACCCGGAAAAUAGCCAUGGCCGAAUAGAACAGAGACUCGGCCAUUUAUUUUGAUUUUCAACUUUUAGUUUUACAUUUUUAUUCCUUUGAAUUUUAUUUUUUAUAAAAUAAACUAAACGAAAGCCAAAAUGUUGCCUGGUGGUAGUACUGCACGGUCCGCGCCUUGUCGUCAGCCCAGGCUGGUAAGGUGUGGCCCAGCAUGGGCCCAGUAGAGCCGGCCGUGCCGGGCCGUGGGUUUUUUUAUUAUUAUUAUUUUUUUAGAAUCUUUUGAUGAGCAAGCAGACUUUCAUGAAAACGGAUAUACAAAAGUUUAUUUGAAUUCAAUUUCGAACGAGACGGGUUUAUCGAAAUGAAUAUGGUUUCGGAUACGGCUAAAAAAAAAAAACUCGACAGAUUUGGAUUUAGUAUAAAUUUUUGUCCCUGCAGAUUUAAUAUUAUAUUUAUACUUAUAUUUUAAAUUUUGAGAUUUUAAUAUAAUAUGUUUUGAAAUAUGAUAAAAAGAAAUGAUUAUUUCGAUUCAGAUUUCAAAUUUUUAAUCGAAUUUAAAUUUUGAUAUGAAUUCUUAAAAUUCAUCCAAUUCAAAUUCGAAAUUGAAUUAUGGGUUCGAAUUUUGGAUUCAGGUUUUACAAAAUUCAUUCAUCCGGAGUCCGUGGACAUCCCUAGACUUAACCAACACGUUAUACCUCAAUAACUGUGAAUUAAAAAGACAAAAGUACCCACGAUCCACCUUGUAAUCAACGUUGUGAAAGUCUCCCGAGUCCCGAGUGAUAAACUGAUUGGGCAAGGUGAAUUUAAAUAAGAAUACUGCUACAAUUGCCUCUGCCUACGCUUUAAAAUCCAAUUGAUGAGCCAGUAUAGUGAUAUAGUCCAAAAUAGUAGCUAUUCAUCGACUCAGCUUAUCAAAUUUCUAAAAGGCAACAUCCGAGUUUAGUGGUGGAUAUCUCGUUGGUGUCGGUCAAACCGAGAAUAAUACAAAAUACUUUAUUUUGUGGGUCCCAUUUGACAAAAAUCUUUUAGUUGAGCUUUCUUUUAUCAUUUAUCUGGUUUUGGGGUCUAAGAUAGAGAUGUCAUCGGUUCGGAUUCGGAACCGAUUUCUAAAAAUUCGAACCCGACUCCAAAUCCGAGAUCCGAAUCCGAACUUGAACCCAAUGAAUUUUAAAAAUUUAUAUUCAAAUCCGAACCCGACUAAAAAUCUGAAACCCGAACCCGAACCCAAAAAUUUGAAUCCGAAAUAAUUAUUUUUUUUCAAUGUUUCAAAAUAUAUUAUAUUAAAUCUAAAUUUUUAAAAUACAAAUUCAAAUAUAACAUUAAAUUUAUAUAUAUAUAUAUAUAUAUUAUAUAUAAUGCAAAAUAAAUUUGGGUUCGGGUCGGGUUCGGGUUCGGGUUCGGAUUGGGUACAGUCAAAAUCCAUAUCCGAAUCUAUAUCCAUCGGGCUUCUAUUUUUUAUAUUUAUAUUCGAAUCCUUAUCCAUUUAGUAUCGAAUAUAUCUAUUUUAUUCGAGUUCGAAUUCGGAUAAAAUUUCGGAUAUUCAUAACCAUUGAUAUCCCUAGUCCAAGUUGACCCCACUUGGGUCCAACAAAAUUUUCAUAUUAGACAAGAAUGGUAUAGCGUGGUAAUGACCCGCUUGUUUUUUUUUUUUUCCUUAGCAGUAGCAAAAGGUUAAAAGUGAUUCUAAUAAAUAAAUUCUAAGGAGAAAGAAUAUUAAUGGUUAAUUCAUAUUUUUUAUACAAUACUAAUGAGUACUCUUUUUUUUUGUAUAUUUUUUUUUCUCCUUAUAUAUUAAAUUUAUGAAAGACCGCUCUACCACAAAUAGUAAAUGGCUUAGUGAUUGAUACCCGAAUUUUUAAGUUCAAAUUUUAAUUGAUUCAUAUUAUAGUUAAAUUUAUUUUUAAAUAAAAUAAAAUAUUUAUUUUUAAAUAAAAUAAACGAAGAGGUUUCUAAAUCCGUCACAUACUAUGCACCCAUAAUUUUAUACAUACUAUGCAGCCACAAUGUUACUCUUUCAAAAUGUCAAUUUAGGCCAAGUCGUGAUUGGCUACUGAAAUAGUCAGAAUGUGCCCAUCCAUAAUAAUAUUUUGUUGACUUUUUCAAAGCUCCUAUAAUGAAUUAAUAACACCAACAAACAACCAAUUCCAUUAAACAGCCAUAGUUUGACCUGUAGUAUUACUAUCCAAUUAAGGACCCUAUAUAUACUCCCAAACCCAAGCCCUUUUUAGCUCAUCAACACAAAUACUCUUCUGAUCACUGAAACAUUCUCCGAGCAGUAAAAAAUGGCCACCAACGAAAUUACUUCUCAGGUGUUCCCAAGCAUCAAUUCGUACUGGAGGCACCGAAACUACCAACGUUUGCGCGCGCCGUCGAAGCAGCUGAGAGUAGUCCGGCUCGGCGGGACGAGCCAACGCCGCCCGUGGAAGGCGAGGACGGUUCGGUUCCGAGCCGUUGUUAAGCUCCCGUCGGUGUUGUGGUCGCCGAUCGGUCACGUCCUGACACGGAUAAGGGAUGCUUACAUGGAUGCCAUGCUGGCGCUGGCCGACGGGGCGAGGCGGCCUUCAAAGCUGGCCCUGACCGGCGGCGGCGGUGGGCUAUGGGCGAGACGCAUUCCGAAGGCUCGGCAAGUUGCCGCAAGGAAGGGCGAUUUCGAGCAGAGAAUGAUGGUCCAUAUAUACAACUCGCUGGUCGCCGCGCCGGAAUUGCCUGGGGUUUACAAGACUUAGACCGAGUUCGAUAUUGUGGUUUCAAAAGCACCCGAUUUAUACUUUUCGACGUUUCAAUAUAUAGAGUCGGGUGCUUUUUGAAACAUGAUACCAAGCAAGGCCUUCUCAGCGUACAAGAUUACUGCAAUGAUUUAAAUCACAUGAGAUUCUACUGUGUUAUCUUGUUUCGUUUUUUUCUAAUACUUUUCCCCUUUUUCUUCAAGUGUGUACCGCCAGUGUAUAGUCGAUUGUAUAAGGAAAUGUAAUUAAUAUAAUUUCUGCAAUCUUUUAGAUUAAUCUUAACACCUAAAAUUGAUUUUUUUGGUACAAAAGAGUAAUCUUUUGGGCUAUUAACUUACAUCAAAACAAUUAGAAAUUAAACAAACGGACGAUCUAAAGAUCAAGGGAUCAAGAGGGUGAAAGGGAGAAAACUAGAUGCAAUUUAGUUAUGCAAAAAAUUGCUUGUCCAAAAUAUGUGAAACUUUAAUACGUGGACUUGGACAUGCAUUGAAACUGUUUUAGUUGCUGCAACUCGAAUGAUACCUCUCGUAAGAUUUAUCUAGAUUCUAAAUGACCCAAAAUUUCCUCCUUUUUCCGCCGAUUGUCGAAUUCGAUCACUCGAUCUCUGCUUUAACAAGAGCUUCUUCGUCUGUGUAAUUUAAUUUUGCAUGGCCUUCUCGAUCUUUUGAAAGAAACUCGCGAUAAAUUGUAAUUCAGGAAACAUGCAAUUUGUUAAAGGCCUAAAUAGAAAGCAAAAGAAUAGAAAGAAAUGAAGUAUUUUCUUCACCUCCUUGUUCUAAUUAGUCCUGGACAUUACGAAAACCCUGAUGAUCAAACCCCCACCAAAUCCCCUAAUCAAUAAUAAUAAUAAAAAAGGAAAGAAACAAAAAAAAACCAAUAGUAAGUUACUUUUCUUUAAAACACAUAUAAAAUUAACUUAAAUCCGAAAACAAAUCCAAUAGGAAUUUCAAUCAAGUAAUUAGCUCCAAACAUUCACAUAUCUACUAUUGCUUGCCGACCACUACUAAUUGCGACCCCAGUAACAUUUUUAUGAUUAAUUUACUUACUCGUUUUCGCACAUAAUUUCUAAUUAAGAUUAUAUUAUUGUGCGUUUUUACUGAAUGAAGUGGGUAGCGCGCUACCCUUCUCUCAAAAAGAUUAUAUUAUUGUGAAAAGUUGUUACAAACAUGAGAGGAUUGGUUGAACUCCAUUUAAUCUGAACUUGUGACAUGGCACUAAAAUUCGAGCUAUGCUGAGCCUGGCCCGUAUUUUCCUGAUUCGACUGUGCGAUGCUAGACUAGACUUUUGACUCACCAUUUAUUUUGUUAUUCAAUUUUAGCUUAAUUAUAUUACUAGUAUAGUAAUCCGCACGAUGCAGCGAAUAAAUAAUUAAAAAAAAAAAAUAUUGAAGAGAAGAAGAAAGGAGUUUGAAAAAUAAGAAUUUAAGUUGUUUUAUUUUUUGGGCAGAAAAAUAUAUAAAUUGAACUAACCAAUAUGAAUAUUGAAAAUUGAUAACUGUCAAGAAUCACGAUUCAAAGAAAAAAUCUACAAAAAUCAUAUGAAGAUGGAGAUAGUAAUGUUACGAUGAUGGCGACGAAAAUCUCAUAGAAGUUUGCAGAAUUUUGUACCUUUUUUGAGCAUGGGGUGGUCAGAAGUUGCGAACCAAAAUUGCGACAUUAAUUAUGAAAUUAAAACUAACAUCUAAAUUAAUCAAAAUAAUGCACAUAAAUCAAAUCCUUGAUUGAUACAAUCACCAUAUCAAAAUUAAUACAAAUAAAUUAAAUUCUAAAUGAAUACGCAAUAAGAAUUCGAGAUUACAAUAAAAAAAAGGAAAGUUAAUUUAGGAUUUUCGUUUUCCAAACCAACCCCUCGAUCCGUCCAUUAUCAUUAUCUAAUUAGCUUCCUCUAUUGAAAAAAUCAUUCGAUUACCUUCUUUUUCCAUAAAUCCAAAAAGAACGAUAUAGAUAAAAACACUAGAAGCACUCUCUUGAUUCGAGGGAGAGGGGGUCGAGUCGAGUCGGAUUGACACGGAUUAGGAUUUGGAGGACUCCCUUCCUCUCCCCAAUCUCUAGAUCUAAAAUAGUAACUAUUUAUCUUCUCAUCUUUUAAUUUUGCAUGUUAGAAAUUGUUUGAGGGAGAAAAAAGAACUAAUAUUGAAGAGGAAAAAUUCAGGAACGUAUAAAUUAAAAGGACAUUGAUUAUAUGUCAUUGAAUAAAGAGAAGAAGAGGGGAAAAACAAUAAGUAAAGAUUAAUUUUAAAACACAAUUAGUAAGGAUGAAGAAAAAUUUGUCACAUGGCAAAAUUAUUAGCCACCGUUUGGUUGGGGGUUAAGGGGUGGAAUAACCCCUUAACCUUCAAUUUAUACCCAAACACCACUCUUUUGGGGUGGGGUUUACUGCGUUAGUAAACCCCACCCCAAAUUACUAACCCCACCCCAAACUUGGUUAGUGCGGUUUACUAACUCCACUACCCCUCCCAACUUUAACCCCGCACGUAUCCCGAGCCCUCAUCUUUUUCUUCUUUAUCAAUCAUUAACCCCACUCCCCCUCCCAACUUUAACCCCGCACGCAUCCCGAGCUCUCACAUUUUUCUUCUUUAUCAAUCAUUAUCUUUUUAUCCCACCUACUCCAACCAAACAUUUUUUUUCAUUAUUCUAGACUAACUCCAACCUCCAACCAAACACAAAAAAAAUUUAAUACCAUUUUAACCCUGAACUUAAUUCUAUCUCUGGAAUAGCUACUUUUUCUUAACCCCGAAUCAAACGGGGGCUAAAAAAUUUAUAUAGAUUAAUAAAUUUACAUUCUUAUAAAUUGAGAA
rnacentral:lncRNA from 1 species